rnacentral:lncRNA from 1 species
NNNNNNNNNNNNNNNNNNNNNNNNNNNNNNNNNNNNNNNNNNNNNNNNNNNNNNNNNNNNNNNNNNNNNNNNNNNNNNNNNNNNNNNNNNNNNNNNNNNNNNNNNNNNNNNNNNNNNNNNNNNNNNNNNNNNNNNNNNNNNNNNNNNNNNNNNNNNNNNNNNNNNNNNNNNNNNNNNNNNNNNNNNNNNNNNNNNNNNNNNNNNNNNNNNNNNNNNNNNNNNNNNNNNNNNNNNNNNNNNNNNNNNNNNNNNNNNNNNNNNNNNNNNNNNNNNNNNNNNNNNNNNNNNNNNNNNNNNNNNNNNNNNNNNNNNNNNNNNNNNNNNNNNNNNNNNNNNNNNNNNNNNNNNNNNNNNNNNNNNNNNNNNNNNNNNNNNNNNNNNNNNNNNNNNNNNNNNNNNNNNNNNNNNNNNNNNNNNNNNNNNNNNNNNNNNNNNNNNNNNNNNNNNNNNNNNNNNNNNNNNNNNNNNNNNNNNNNNNNNNNNNNNNNNNNNNNNNNNNNNNNNNNNNNNNNNNNNNNNNNNNNNNNNNNNNNNNNNNNNNNNNNNNNNNNNNNNNNNNNNNNNNNNNNNNNNNNNNNNNNNNNNNNNNNNNNNNNNNNNNNNNNNNNNNNNNNNNNNNNNNNNNNNNNNNNNNNNNNNNNNNNNNNNNNNNNNNNNNNNNNNNNNNNNNNNNNNNNNNNNNNNNNNNNNNNNNNNNNNNNNNNNNNNNNNNNNNNNNNNNNNNNNNNNNNNNNNNNNNNNNNNNNNNNNNNNNNNNNNNNNNNNNNNNNNNNNNNNNNNNNNNNNNNNNNNNNNNNNNNNNNNNNNNNNNNNNNNNNNNNNNNNNNNNNNNNNNNNNNNNNNNNNNNNNNNNNNNNNNNNNNNNNNNNNNNNNNNNNNNNNNNNNNNNNNNNNNNNNNNNNNNNNNNNNNNNNNNNNNNNNNNNNNNNNNNNNNNNNNNNNNNNNNNNNNNNNNNNNNNNNNNNNNNNNNNNNNNNNNNNNNNNNNNNNNNNNNNNNNNNNNNNNNNNNNNNNNNNNNNNNNNNNNNNNNNNNNNNNNNNNNNNNNNNNNNNNNNNNNNNNNNNNNNNNNNNNNNNNNNNNNNNNNNNNNNNNNNNNNNNNNNNNNNNNNNNNNNNNNNNNNNNNNNNNNNNNNNNNNNNNNNNNNNNNNNNNNNNNNNNNNNNNNNNNNNNNNNNNNNNNNNNNNNNNNNNNNNNNNNNNNNNNNNNNNNNNNNNNNNNNNNNNNNNNNNNNNNNNNNNNNNNNNNNNNNNNNNNNNNNNNNNNNNNNNNNNNNNNNNNNNNNNNNNNNNNNNNNNNNNNNNNNNNNNNNNNNNNNNNNNNNNNNNNNNNNNNNNNNNNNNNNNNNNNNNNNNNNNNNNNNNNNNNNNNNNNNNNNNNNNNNNNNNNNNNNNNNNNNNNNNNNNNNNNNNNNNNNNNNNNNNNNNNNNNNNNNNNNNNNNNNNNNNNNNNNNNNNNNNNNNNNNNNNNNNNNNNNNNNNNNNNNNNNNNNNNNNNNNNNNNNNNNNNNNNNNNNNNNNNNNNNNNNNNNNNNNNNNNNNNNNNNNNNNNNNNNNNNNNNNNNNNNNNNNNNNNNNNNNNNNNNNNNNNNNNNNNNNNNNNNNNNNNNNNNNNNNNNNNNNNNNNNNNNNNNNNNNNNNNNNNNNNNNNNNNNNNNNNNNNNNNNNNNNNNNNNNNNNNNNNNNNNNNNNNNNNNNNNNNNNNNNNNNNNNNNNNNNNNNNNNNNNNNNNNNNNNNNNNNNNNNNNNNNNNNNNNNNNNNNNNNNNNNNNNNNNNNNNNNNNNNNNNNNNNNNNNNNNNNNNNNNNNNNNNNNNNNNNNNNNNNNNNNNNNNNNNNNNNNNNNNNNNNNNAGAUUGUUUAAAUAAAAUUAGUUUGGUUAAGAAUUAGUACUUGGUGAUUUUUAUUAAAUAAUUCCUCGUGGGAACGAUACUCUACUUUCACUUUAUUACUUGUUGACCGUGUAUACUUUCACGUAUUCAUUGAUUACUUGUUGACCGUGUACCUUAUACACGUGGUUCCAUUCCAAUGAAAAAAGAAAAAAGAUUCUGGUUUAUACCUUCUAUCUCCGCUACAAGUUAAGUUCAUAAAGAAGGUUGUCGGGUUUAGAUUGAAAUGGAAUUCCUGAGAACUGGGGCUAGAAUUUUAUACUUAUUCUCUUUCGAGAGAGGCACUUUAAGUAGAAUAAACAAGAAGUCUAUUUUGCCGCUUCACAGCUCCACAAUCCCGCUUCUUUUUUAUCUAAAAGAAGCUUCGCAAAGUGCACUCUCAGUCCCCUUCGUACGACAGGGCCCCUGCCAUUCUUCCCUCUAUGGAACCAGGCCGAAUCCCCAACUACGUUAGAAAAGGGGUCUUGGCAAUCCGCCCAAUAUCGUAUAAAGCUGCUGCUACUUCGUCCCCUUCAUUGCCUGCUUCAAUCAAUCGUAUUUCUGCUCGUGAAAAUGGAAUCGUAUUUCAAACGUGCUUUCCCCUCCUUCGCUUCGCUCUUCCUCCCUCGGGAAGGGGUUAGCUCCAUAGCUCCUUAGCUCCUUAGCUCAAGCUCUAAACUCGUAGGUCAGUAGCUCAGUACCUCAGUAGCUCAGUAGCUCUAAGAAAUAAAGGUAGCUCCAGUCUAUCGCUCCGUUCGCUUCACUCACUCUCUUUAGUCUCUCCCUCACUUACGAGAGUGAGAGCCGAUGCUAUUACCGCAGGGUUUUUACCACACUACUGUUCCUCCAGAAUCCAUGCGGUUUUUUUAUCUCGCAUAGAGCCAACCUUACUCUAUGUACUGUCCUGGGUGGGCUACCAUCCUUUUCCAUUCCACUACUUUACAUGUUAGCUCGUCUCUGUCUUUGUCUUCAUCCACAAAAGCAUAUCCGGGAGGAGAUACUCAUCCUAGGUAAAUUAAGAAUUUUAGACCGAUCAAAUAGCCAGCCGUUGGGAGAUGCUAACGGUCACGAAAGAAAGUGUAAAAUGGGUUGACUUAGGUUGUCCCUAAAAAUAACAGAUUAAAGGGUAAUAGUUCAACCUUCUGCAGGAUUCAGAGAUAUUUUAUUUAAACAGGGCUUGUAUUAGUUAUGGGGGUAGAAAGUCAAGGUUAGGGAUAUAAGCCUUAAAAACCAAAGCACUUUAAAAAAGCCAUGUACCCGCAGAACGGUUUACCGUACUAGCUAGUCACAACUAGCCGCCUCUAAGGGAACGAACCCUUAUAUAAUUGAAAAAAUCGGGUGAGGGAACUUUACAGGUUGUCUGAACCGAGGGUGUACCUUCUGUUAUCAUAUAUUCCCACACAAAAAAAAUUAGUGACCAAACUGAUUAGGGUAUGAAAUGGUACUAUGUCAACCAGGGCCUGGGCCGAUCGCUUGAGCUGCACCUGACAGGGGCCCUUAUCACGUAAGGUACGAGUCUUAUAUGAAAAAGAAGUGAUAGUAUAGGUAAUGGAACUAGCGAUAGCUUUGUUAUGAGCUUGUUCUAGUAAGGGCUCGCGAUCCCUUGCUUGUUUGAUUCCUUUCCUUUUAUUCAAUCUCUCUCUUCCCUUUUUCCUUUAGAACUCUAAUGGUGACUAAGGAAGAAAAACAAGCUCUUUUGUACCACUUCAAUCGCUAGCCUGUAAUCCAGCCUAGCAGACUGAAGCAAGGAAUCCUAGAGUUCCCAAAGCUUCGUUUAGGAGAGCCUACGGAUCUCUUUAAAGUAAAGUACAAUAUCGACUUGAAUGAAACUAUAGCACAGAGGAAUGCUAGCGACCACUCAUAUUCAAGAAUAGGAGCUCAGACUCUUGUUGUAGUUCGAGCCUUAGAUGGAAAAAAAUGAAGGGAUAGGAAAGCAAGGCAUCCUAUAAGCACAGAGGUAAUAGGCAGGCAGUUAAUCGAUUUCAGUAUUCUAGAUAUCUCCUGCCCUUUCAUACUCGUAGACUUCUGUAAUAGGCUUUCUCCUACGGUACUUGCCUAGGAGCGAGAACUCUAGUUCAAAUGUUUCAAGUGUAGCAGAGGAAAGGUAGCAAUUAGUUGUUGACUUUUAUAGAAGCAAGGUAAUGCAAUUAAGAUCAGAGUCAAGCCUGGAAGCCGGAGAGUGAAGAGAAGUUCUGAAAGAAAAGACAUUCACAACUAUCUCAUAUAGGAGAGUGCAUAUAGUUUUGGACAUCUAUUGACUUUCCUGAAUUCCUUAAAGGAAUUUAGUAAUGGUUAAGUCAAACAUAGCAGUCUUAAGCAAAUUGGUAGUAGCAGUACUGGUAAGCAGUUAAGAGCUUUACUUUGCAUGACGGUCUUCAGUCUAGCAUUCUUGUAGUUCAAGUGUGAAUAAGGAAGUGCAAGGCAGCAAUCAUCUGUAGCGGGCUAGCUCACUGAAUCGAUAUCUGUAUUUGUAUACAUAUAAGAGAUGCUUUUUGCUUUGUCUUUUCAUUUUAAGCCGGAUCUACAAUGUAUUGGUAAGGAUCUCUCCCCUACCUCUUUGGAGGGCUGACAGUUGCUUGCUUGUGUACCUAAUCCUUCUGGCUUUCCUGCUGGAUAUCCUAUUAUACCGAUUGCUUCUUUUUGUUCCUGUUGCCUGCCUUUCCUAUUGCUUUUGAUUGCAUGCUUUCCUUCAUUUGUGUCUGACUAGAGGAGAUAGUUACCAGCGAAGAGAGGGGAGUGAGACUAAGAAGACGUUCCCCUAGUGCUUCCAUCAAGCGAAGCACUAGACUCACUAUAAAGGAGAACACCUAAAGGAACUAUUCCUGCUUCAGUCAAAUUCAAUGCAUUGUUUCAUUGCCUAUGUAUCAAGCUUCAAAUCUCCACUUUUCACUUUAAUGUAUGCUGUGGGUGCAUAACAUGCAGAUUUCUGUCCAGAACAUAAAAAGAAUCUAUGAGUUGAGAAGCAACUUAGCGUUCAACCAUUACCUCUGACUCGACCUCUGCACCUUCCACCAUCUCUGCAGUUAAUUACAGGUGUAUGGCAUUUGCUGUUGAUAAUGCUUUUCUUUUCUCGAAUGCAGGUAUGAAACCAGGAAACUCGCCUUAAUUUUUAAAUAAAGCGGAAAAAAACCUGUGGGAUAAGUCAACAAAUCACAUCAUAUAUCGGAUAUCGCAUCGGAAAGAGAUAUUUAUUCUCCCUUUCGGGCAAGUCCUGAGGAACGUCGACUUGAUAGUCUUUAUCCCCACUGGGUAAGUGGGAAUCUGAUUCAUUGAUUUGAUUGAACCUAGCGGGUAGCGCGCUACUUCAAAGCUUGCUCAACCACGAAAGGCUAGCUUUAGCUUCUUCCCUCUCUCUUCCCCCAAAAAAGGAGAGAGAUGCCCCGUCCCUUCUUUAUGCACAUCCAUAUACAUAGCCAGACAUAAAGGUGUACAAUCCGGUCAAAAUCUGCGGUUCGUUCUUCACUGUAGGUUCUCUUACUUGCUUUAGUGGCUGACAAAGGCCAACUGAGAGGGGAGAACGAAUGGCUCAGGAAUCUACCGGUUCUGAGCAGACUCGUGGAGCUGCAGUUUGGAUUCUCGUAGAAUAAGAGGAGCCAUAUGAGGAAAUGACUUCACUUAAAAGACAGAUGCCACCGUUGCGAGGCAAGGGAGCAACUUGUCUGGUCUUGCGGUGCACUCAUUCCCGUUACGAGAAUGAAAUGACGCCCCAGCUUGACUCGAGACCAAGACUCCUUACAACUUGCACCAAUAGCGGCACUGAGCGGUCGGAGAUUUCUUGAAAAGGCUGCCCCCCCUAGCCACCUACCUGCUCGUGUUUGUAGCUCGAUCGGAGGUCAAGACUUUGGUCCAGCAGAAAAAAUAGAAGUCGUCCAUAUUAAGUGAUACGUGAAUUGCUCAGUAGUGCUUCGCCACUACCGUAGCUGGCGGAAAUAGCUUAAUGGUAGAGAAUAGCCUUGCAAGGCUGAGGUUGAGGGUUCAAGUCCCUCCUUCUGCUCUUGGCUUCAUCGUUUAGUGGUAACGAGUGGAGUGCAGAAGCCCUUUUAGAGAGAGUGGUGAGCAGCAAGCAGCCCCUUGUAUAGGGUUCCAAACCUAUCUUACUAAUAACAUAGAAAGGGGCAAGCCAAAACCUACUCCUAACAAGUUGCUGGCUUUUCAUAAGCCGUUGCGCGCUUCUAUUUUUCAGCAGGCUUCUUCAAAUAUCCCAUAAAUGAAGUAGGGGCUAUAACUAUAAGUAUAAGUAGCUAGCUAGCGCGCUAGCGUUUUCCCUUACUAGUAAAGGGGCUGCUAGUUGUAGCGCGCAGUGUACUAGUGAAUAGGAAAGGCGAAUUGAGAUUACUAAUGACGGAUGGAGGUUGAGGAUAGAACAUGUUCGAUGCCUUGCCCUUGUCUCCUUCGCCGGAGACUACAAAUGAUGGGAAUCCUAUCGAUAAAGAAGAGGCAUAAGCAUCGCCUCUCGAUCCAAUCCGUCUUCCCUGGCCUCCCCAACACACUCUGGAUACGAAAGAAACCUCCCACCAUAGAGAAGAGAUCUAAAGUCUGGGUCCCCUCGAUCACACUCCCUUAAACCUGAACAGGUCUAGAGAGAUGAACCCGCACCAAAUUUUAUAACCUUCGAACCGAAACCCCCAACUAGAGAUGGAAUUCAAGAACCUAAACAACUCAGUUGAGAACUUCGUGACUGGUUCAAGGGAAGGUCCACCAAUGAUUGAUUGGCCAUUCCCCCUCUAUCCGUCUCUUGAUCCCUCAUUCCACUAAUCCGUUGUUACUGAUUCAUUCAAGGCAUAGACUCCCCAUUUCUUUGUCUUAUUAGCGCAGGUGUUCGUCAACGAUGAAAGCCGCUGAACUUAAGACUCGAGUUGAGAAAGAGGGCUAGGCCCCCGGGAGGGCUUUCAGGGACUGGGGAGGGUGGAUUAUAGAGCUAGGGGCAAAUCGAAGGUUUUUCCAUUGGGAUUGGGCAUGGACGAGCCUCGACUGGGCCAGCAUUGAUGAAAAAAUGAAAAAUUCUCCCAUCGCAUCAUUAACCGGUGUAGGAUUAAAGAUCAGGUCCAGGAUUCGAGUCAAAUCUACCUUCCCUCUCAUCUCAGGGUGAGGCAAGGAAUUCAAUCAAAUCUUUUAUGCCAGCCCAAACAAAACGAAUUACUAUCUUUGGAAAGGAAGGAAUGCAGGGAACAACUCUUUCCUUUCCGCUGGUUCUUGAAAGCUAUCAAUCCCCGCUUUUCCCCUCCUCUCGCAUUGGUUCUGCAUCAGAUGAUGAGCCCAUGCACAAACUUUUUCUUUUAUUGGCCCCCGAUAGGUAGGCUAGUAGAUUGAGUCGAAAGCCUACCAACGCAUAAAGGUUCCGAUUCGAGCGAGAGCCCAAACGGGGGAGGCGAGAACAUCUUGAUCGAAAGUUCCACUGUUCUGAAUAGUGAGAAAGACUUUUUAAAAUUAGAUAAAAUCGAUCGAGAAUAUCAUCAUCUGUUAGGUGGGCCAACCGACCGACCGAGUUGGGAUGGGCGUCCAUGUCACAGAACCUUUCUCUAGCCAAGAAUCCCAUUAUUGACCGAAUCGGGGAAUUCAUUUGAAUUGCCCCUUUCUGUUGGAAUAGUUGAAAGUAUUCUUCUUAGGGGUUUUUCUUUUUUCUUAUCAACAUAGAGUUGGAACUUAGCCGUGUAAGUUGCGAGUGGACUAGUGUGAAGCUUUAGUUUCGUUACCGGCCAGAGCUCCUAGCCGAUGACCGACUGCCCCUUUCGAGUUCAGCUGACCCCUUCUUGAUUCAGUUUUUCCCUAUUUGAGAUAGAUGAAUCAAUGGAACUUUGAUCCCCGGUUCCUGCUUAGUCAAUUCUUGGAAGGCCCCUAUUAAUGUAAUGAUUGAACAAUCAAAGUCCAUUUGCCGCGACUACGAGCUGCCAGUGCGCCUUUAUUUGAGUCGCCUACGCUCGGGGUCGAGAACUGGUUCAAAAGUAGAAGGUGGUCCAAAAUGAGCUAACGCGAGUUUUCGAACGACGCCUUUCCCGUUUUUGAACAUCACUGAGAUAGGCUUUUCCCUGAACCAUUGACCCUUAUUCGAGAGGGAUUCAUUCAAUAGAGCUUUAUUUGUUUGAUCUAGUAAGGGGGGUGUUAGAAAUAAGCCACCGCCCGACGAAACAGCGGUUUACAACAGAGCGACCGGGGACAUCGAGCGAAAAGCUCCAAUACGCAUAUUCGGAGCUACGAGGAUGUUGUAGUCGCAGAAGCUGGAUCAACAUCAUGACAAUGGCAUUCUGGAAACCAUUGGGCUAGCCACAAUUGGUCUAAUGUCUUGGUGCGUAUGGCGGUACACUGAGAGCACCUUUCAUUUCAAGUCGGCUGAAAAAGAAAGAAAAAAGGGUUCAUCGUCUUUUUCCCGCUUUCACCUUCGAUUGCGAAGGGAUUUGAGGCCGGUUUUCAAUUUGCUUCUCUCUCUCCGGCGAGGUUUAAACUUCGCGUGGUGGGAAGGCCUUCACGAUUCCCAUCUUCCCGUCCAACAAAAAAAGUGAAGGGGAACGAACAACUAUUCCCUAAUUGAAGAAAGUUGGAAAGCCUUCAGAGCCUCAACCCCUACCAUUAAAUUAAAAAAAAUGAAAGCUGACUAGCAAUCGCUCGUUUUUCUUAUUAGCGGAUGUUAAUAAUGAAAGACAGAACAUAUAUUAGAAGGCAAUCCCCGGGGAAUUCCUAUCGAUUUCCGAUGGAUAACAAUCCAUCUUUCUCGCUUUCGCUCUUUCUCUCAAUCAGUCGCGAGGGUUCCGGGUAUGAGAACGCAAGUGCCGGAAUCAAACAAAAGGUCUGAAUGUCCGAGGCCGAAAGAAAAAAUGCUCCGCGGGAAACUCGUUUCAUGUCGGCGUAUUCAUGCCGGUUAGACGUCGGCCAUGAAAUCCAUCACUAUACCGAGCAGAUCACGGGCAUUCACAUCCAUUUCUAUAGAGCAAAGGGAACUGUGUGCGAUUCUCUCGUGAAUCGCCUUCAGCAAGGUAUGGCACUCAGGGUCUGAACCCGGGGAUAAAUCUUUUUCUUUUCUGACCCUACAGCUAUGAGAGGUUCAGGACUACCCUUGCACCUGAACAUACAGCCAGUAGGAACGGCAUUGAAUAGUGCUUAGCAUAGUUAAGUCACUACCCCUGGGAUUUCCUAAAGUGCCUUUACCCUGCCAUCAAAGUAAGUAUUUCUCCCUCCAGUUACCCCAGCGAACAUCCUUUUUUUCUUGCUAGUAUAACCAGAGAACGACAUUAGUAUUACUCUAAAGGGGGCUCAUAACAGUGGAGUACUUUUUCUUUUCCUUAUUGAGGUGUCUUAUAGAGCAGAUCAUAGGAUCGUAGGUGAGACUGAUUGUUCUCAGCUCGUUUGCUAAACAGUAAUCUCAUAAACCAGUAGACCAAUCUUCGCUAAUUGAAUUCAAUUUCAUUCUCUGAUUUUUUUGUUUUCAGAUUUCUAUUUUCACAUGAAUUCCACUGAACUGCAUUUCAUAUGAUCCAGAGAUCGAUCUUUCCACAGGUCACUCUGCCAAGGUGAACUAUUUCCUUUUGGUUGGUUUCUUAGAAUAGAAGCAUAAGUCCCUUAUCUCCUCUAAGCAGUCCGAUCUGGCUUUCCUGCCUCUCUCUUCUCUAGUCGUCUAGUAUUGUACCCUUAUUCAGAUUAUGAUUUUCAUUCAUUCAAUGAAAAAAUUGCUUGUCUAAGGUGUGUUUCGACGUACAGAUCACCAAAGACGGGAGUUAGUUUGUUCAAGUCAAUAAGAGGUAAGGUCUCACUUAAGUGUUCUGUGGUAUCUCCCGAGCAAUAGAUGAAGAGGGUCUCUCGCCGGGGUCAAUCUCAAUAUAAGUAGGAACUUCUUUGUGCACAGCUGAUUGUGUAAGAGAAUAGGUUCCUUCUAUUCUUCCUAGAGGCAACAGAAGCGUGCUAUUCUUUGUCCUCCAAAUCUCGUAAGAGAAUAAAUAGAAUAUAGGGCUAUUUCCUCCAUUAAUGGGUGUCUUUUUCCCCCUCGUGAUUGGGGUUCCGCACUUGCUUGUCUGAGACUUUAAUAAUGUUCGCACUCUCUUUUGUUUAGUGUAAAAUCCUGAUCCUAACUGACCCCAGAAUCAAAACCUUCUUGUUCUAAAGGCAUGGCUCUCUCGCAUCUUAUUCUACUACUUCUUUUGUAGAGGAAGUCCGUCUCGGUCUAACUUUGUUACCUUAGCCUGGAAAACAACCUAGUUUCCUAGGCCUCCUUAUAUCUUUUUCCUAGCUUCAGAAAAUGCCCGAAAAAGAAAAUCCCUCGUGGACCUAUAUCCAAGCCCAGAGAGUACUCUUCCUUCUGCCUUACACCUCCUAUGAACGAACCUGAUAGGGCCACAUACAAAAGGUUCUUUACCAAGCUUAAGAAUUGUGUUGUGCUUUCCAUCUCGACUCAUUCAUGCGGUCGACCUAUCAUUUCUGAGGGUAAAAUCCCCAGUCUUCCUACCCUACCUUGGUUAUCCACUUUCAUGCUACCACUGAGCGGACUUUCCUAUAAAGAAUAAGAUAGAUCUGGCCCUAUCGGAUUGGUCUUCACGGAGUCCUAUAAUUUUCAUUCUUUAUGUCCUGCAAAACUCAUCUUAGUAGCGGCUGGGAAGCCUUCGAUACAGGAAAUCGCUUGGAGCAUAUUUCAUCUAUGAACAGGUUCAUUACUAGCAUGGGGCACUGCCAAGGGCAUCUCCUUGAAGGAAAAGAAAAAGCGAAGCGUAUCCCCCCGAGGAUGGCUUUGAAGCGAUCGAAAGACCAUAGGAAACGAAAGAUUCUGUAGUGUGGUCACAAAGAGCUUAUUUUUGCUCUGUUCCCGAGGCAUGCUCUUAAAGAUAGGUGUCAGGCUAGCUUUCAUAAGCCAAUGUCUGGAGAUUAAUCUAUACAAAUUCUCACACGUAGUGGCACCCCAUUUCAUUGGUCUUGUUCUUGCACCAGGAGCCCUUGAAACUCUAUUAAAAACAAGUUUUUGACUAGGCUUUUGAACCACAAGUUAUUACAGAAUCUUGCUUGAACAUGAAUAUUGGCCCAGUAAGUAAGGCAACAUUUACGUCGAUCACAGAUGAUCUCACUCAAUCUUAUCAAUUCACCAAUUUCCUCAUUUCUUGCAUCUCUGACGAAAGACCUAGAAAGACAACUUCUAAAUGCAGCCUUUCUCUCCACUAGAUAUAAACCAUAGGUCAACCGAACCCAAGGUGCGUAGCGGGCGAAGGCCCUAAGAAAACUACUUAAAAAACAGGAACAGAGAGCCUUGCGAUAUUAAUCGCAGGUGUGCUUUUGGUCUUAGCCCUGAAUGAAUCGGCUGUUCCACUACCAAUGCAUGUAGUCCCGUAGUUGUCUAAGUUCAGAUAGAAUAAUCACUCGACUAAUAGGGAAAGUGAUUACAUACCUUGGCAGAAUAGUCAUUUCAUCCCAAGAACUAGAUCAAUGGCAGGGAACCCUAGGUAAGCAAAAAUUCCAAGAGAAGGACUACUUGCCUAAGCUCUCUCACUUGCUCUAUCCAAAGCGUCUAUCUCUAGCAAAAACUGUUAACUCUUUCAUUUCUACGACCAACCGAGAGUCCAUGUGCUAUGGCUCACACCCGGAAUAAGGUUUUUUUCUUGAUCUACUUUAGCCUUAUUGAGAUUUAAAGUACUUAUUGCAACUGUAACCGCGGUUACAGAAAGAAGAAACUUCUCUUUGACUGAAGCACUUGAACUUCACUUUCCAACUUGUUGGGAAUAGGGGCUUUCACUGGAACUGAAACUAUAUCUUCUGUUCAACUCGGCUUCCUUAACUUAAAGAUUUUGAGGGUUUGUAGGGCUUUCCACUCGCUCUACCCGAAAGGAACUAGAAGUAACCUUUUCUCUAAGCUAAGCCGCAAAGAAACUAGAACAAAGAAAGAACAAGGAUUUCAUCCGGAAGCAAAAGUGCUCUUUUCACGAAUUCUAGGCGAUUGUAGAGGGAUGGAUUAAGCAUUCCUUUGAACGCAAUGAGAAGAUCUAGGGUAGAAAGUAGCUACCCUGUAGCUCAAAGAAAGUCUUAUCCCGACCUGGGGUUGGCUGAUAGAUACGUGGCACCACAAGGUUGUCACACCAAAGUAUAGGAGGAGAGCGAGGUAUGCCAAGCUCAGAAAAGAGAGAUUGCAUCCAACAUAGUUCAGCUGUGGCUAUAGCAAGACCGCGGUAUUCGGGUUCAGUACUUUACUUCGAAAUGGUCUUUUGUUUCCUUGAGCUCCAGGAGACAAGAUUAGAACCCAUAUGGACACUGUACCCAUUAGUGCUGCGUAAGUCAUCUGGACAUCCAGCCCAAUCAGCAUUUGAAUAUGCACUAAGUUGAUGAAGUGAAUUUGGGCUUCUGUUAAGGCCAAAAGUGAUAGUAUGCUUGAGAUAUCGAAUAAUACGCUUGACAAAGUAGGAAUUCAACGAUUAGAGAUAUCCUUUCAUCGACUUUAUCCAAUACGAGAUACUACCAGAUGACUCGGACGAAAAGGUAAGUAUCCAAAGACGUGCUCCUGCGGUGUCUGUCGGACCAAGAUGCAGAGAAGGUCAUUUAAGAGAACGGGUAAAUCAGGUUAGUCAGCUAAGGCCCACUUUCACCUUAAAGAUCAAGGUCUGUGAAUGAAAUGUCCUCUACUCGGUAGUAGUAGGAACAAGAUGUAACUGAUUCAUCCGUACCAACGAGAAGAGAAGGGGGGCUUCACCAGAUCACUCUUAAUCCGCUGAUUAGGAAGAGAGAAAGGAAUAUGUUUUCUCUUUAAAUGAAGCGGAAGCUCGUUCCUGGCCUCUUUGGCAGUAGCAAAUCUGAAUUCGUAACCCACCAAUCUCUUUUUGGGCAGGAGUCGUCAGAUCUUGCCCAGGCAAAGGAGCGAUCGACACUCGCUCGCAAUUUUUAAGCGCAAGGACAAGUUGAUUCAGGAAGGGGAACAAGAGUAGCCUAGCCUGGUUCUUCUUUGUUUUCCUGAGCGGUAUGGUACGGCACGUGGGAAAUCACGAUCAGAGAGAAGUAACGAGAUGAGAAAUCCGUAGGAAAUAACGAAGUACAAGCGUGAAUUAUCUAUCUAUCUCUUUCCAUGUUGCGCCGCUCGCUCUACAUCAGUGCCAAAGGCUUGCGACUUGUCUGGAUCCAGAGGUGGAAGAAGGACCUCCAUCAUCUUUAUACCUGGAUCUUAUUCCUAUCCACAGCUAGUAACUGAGGGUUGCCUAGUUUCCCUCACCUGUCAAGUACCUGCUUCGGGGGAUACCAACUAAUAACUAAUAGCGGGAUUUCCACAAAUGGUAAGAGUAAACACCUCUAUAAUCAACGGAUUUGAGGACCUAGCCCUUAAAAAGGGAGUGAAACGUUACGUUCACUAACGCUUAUUAAUAGGGCUACGCUCGCUACAAUCCUCUUAUCUUAACAGGGGCUGAAAGAAUGCAAAAAGAACUGGGCAGUAGCGCCUUUCCCUCACUCUGAUCAGGAAGCCAUGUUAGAAAACACAUGUAUCCAACGGUGGUAGAAGGGAUUUGUCCAGGAGCUGGCGGAUGCUGGAGAUCCAUCAGAGUUGACAACAUUGGGAGUUUUUCCAUAUUUGGCAGCGUAGGCACGCUGAAACGAGUUAAGAAGCGAGUUACAUACCUGGGGUUCAAAACCAUUAAACCCCGACUGUUGUUGUUGGUAGUCUCCUCAGAUGGUAUUUCAACGGAGAAUCGGAUAGAGUGGAUGGACACCUAUGCUACCUUACCUGCCUUUACGGAAAUCGUUUCAAGAUAGGAAAGCCUUUCAAUCCGUUCUGUUGUUCAAAAAAAGCCUCGCAAUCAGCUAUUGAGUAUAUCUAAUAAUCUAUGGUACUAGCUUAGCCCUAGUAAGGCUCACUUUUUGUCUCGAAUAGUCUUUCCUUCGUUACAGGCACCAUAGGAAACUACAGGCACUACAGCAAGACGUUGAGGUAGGCGUAGAAGGUCAUCUCUGGUAUAAAAGGUAAUCCCUGGUUCUAGCUCAUUCGCAGGUGCUAGCCCAUUCGCUGUAGGGGAAAGGUCUUCUCCAAUGUUUCCAUCUGUCGUUACAGGACUGGAGUCUCCAAGUUAGUUUCUUCGAUAGGGGAAAGGCCUUCCCGGUUUCAAAGUAAGUCUUUCCUUUCUUUUUCUUUUGAAAGGGAAGUAAGUAAGGUCUUUUCGCUAUUGGUUCUCGCCAAGCAUUGGCGCAACUGCAGUCCCAUAGUGUGUUUCCUUCUCCAUAGUCAGAAGGCAUGUAUUCUCCAUAGCCAGAAAGAAGGCAUGUCUUCGUUAGCUUCGAUUGCAGCACCAGAAGCAGUCUCACAAAAUCGUACCAAAUGACCCAACAGUUCUUCUUUAUGGCAUCAUUGUUGGCUCUGAAACAGCAGUUCAAACUAUCCUUUUUAAGGCCUUCUAAGCCUUCCUAUUCGCUCUGGAACAACCCGCUUUUGGAUAGGCAUCGAUAGAUCCAAAUGGAACGACAAGAAUGGAUAUAGGUGAGAUGGCCGGCCCAAAGGUAGAUAGCGGCAGUUUGGCCCUAGUUUGGUCUGUUGGUUGCUAAGUAGCUUAUGGCUCUCCUCUUUUUCUUUAGAUUUAGAGGAGGAAGCCUCUGUUUGGAUCUCUUUUCCUGAUAUCCCCGUUAAUUCUUUUUCUGGGAAUGAGUUCGGGUUCUCAAUCUGAUGUUCACCAAAAUGGACGUUUAAGCAUAUUACUUUUUCGGUAAUUUCCCAUUGAUGAGCAUAAAAUAAACAUAUAUAAUAAUCUAAGGUGCUGAGUAUAGCUAAUAGCUAAAUAAUCUAAAGAUGCUAGAUCAAGCAAGAACCCCUUAGCGGAACUGACCUUUCUGUUAAUUGCAUAGGGGAAGCCCUACUGUCAGCUUUCAAUUGAAAAAAGAUAUGAGAAUCUCAGGUGCUAGCUGUAGGCAUUGGCGCCACCUCUGUCCCAGAGAAAGUAUCUACCCGUUCCGGAAGAAGGCAAGGCCAGAAGAGAAAGUAUAUGACUAUAAUGUGGGUUUAGGGUAUGCUAGCUAUCUCACUAUCGGUAACGGAAGGGCUUUCUCAAGUCUUUCUCUCGUUUCGGAAGCACUCUCCUCAUUCUUUCGUUAGGGCGACUGCUGCCCCCGUAUAGCGACUCUCUGCUGCUUUUACUUAGCUGUUUGCUCCUGCCUUUGUAUCUGCUAUGAGUAAAUCUACUCUGGGGUGAAACAACCACUACGAUUGCCUUUGACCAUACCUUUACCUAUGCCUAUAUGAAUAUCUUAAAGUUGCAGAUCCAAAGCGAGUAGUUGCUUCAGUAGAGCCGGUUGAUUCCGGCGAUUCUGUUGAUGAAGUAGUCAAUGAAGAAAGACAUGGUUGAGUCAGUCGAAGAAGCAAAUGCUCUCACCUUAGGGGAGCAUACACACCUACUGCGAAUUAGAGAGACCUGACCUACAUUCAUUAAUCAUCUCCUAGGAAUUUCCCUUCUCAAAGUAGGUCAAAAGAGCAAGCCGAGGAAAGGAAGACUCUCUCGAAAGGUGUCUGCUCGUGGAAUAGAAAGAGUUCGUUGCAUCAACAAAGUGUAGUAGUCAAAAACGCUUACUUAAGCUCAUCGAUGUGUACUCACUCCUCGGCUGUGAAAGAGAGGGCGCUUCUGAGCUAAAUCAAUCCCGCACAUGCGAUUACCCGGAACUUUACACUCAAUGGAAAGCAAAAAGGAAGAAAAAAUCCACUUUGAAAGCGAUUCCAGAGACUAUAAGAACGACCGAGUGGCAGGUGGGAGCAGUAGAAGCAUUGAGAUUUGCUUGUUCAGAGAUGCGUCAAAGGUAUACCUAUGAAAGUUGAUUGCAAGGGUCAGUCACCAAUGCAUUACUAAAGAAUAACCAACCAGAAUAACUUCUCAGGGAGCGUGGAAAGAAGGAGACCUAAAAGUGAUAUCUGUAGGCCGACCUUGGGAUUGAUACGCUUCGACUUAGCCUAUCAAGGCUAAUGCACUCUCUUGAUCCAAUGCUCAAUCUUUCGUUCAAAUGGCCGAUAAAUCUUCAAGCUGUUCCCAACAGAUCUUAUGAGACAAACCCUCGGUGAAGCACUGCAUCUUUCUAGCUUCAAAGAAAGAGAAAGACAACGAAGUGGAAUGAUUUCCCAAGCUUAGGACUUUGAUCAAUGGGCACGAGGCGCUAACAUGCAAAAAAGCCUCCUUUUUUUUAUACGAUAAACCAAUCAAGGGAAUGGAAGAGAGCAGCUAUGCUCAAGCAUCUUUGGCAUAUCUGCUUGGACAAGGACCAUUCGAUAUGGUCUAAUUGGGUUAGGGUCUACCUUAUCAAAGGUAGGGACUUCUGGGCGUUGAAGCCUUGAAGAAAGGGGCCGCUUGCUCAUGGUAGAAUAGUUAAGGUAGCGGGCAAUGGGAAUUCUCCUAACACUUUUGCUUGGAAGGGGUCUCCCUCUGGCUCCUUUUCCAUCAAAUCUGCUUGGGAUAGUCUCCGCCCCCGGGCUGCUUCUGUUUUCUUACAUAAGCUUGUUUGGCACAGGAAAGCUAUCCCUCGUCACGCUUUUAUCCUCUGGUUGGCUACCUUUUUUUUUCUUUCUUUUAGCUAUCUCAACUCUUCGACUUCGAAAAACGAGGAUUCUUUCUUCAGUGGAAGAGAAAGAAAACCCUCAAAACCAUCGACCCUUGCGUAGGAAAGAUGGGGACCGAUGCGCGGACGACCCGGAGAUAGAGCUCGGAAUCAGUAGAGCAGCAGAAGACCAACCCGCCAAAGACUGUCACCUGCUGAACCAACAUGUGAUAGGGAGAUCAUAGAGGUGAGUUAACAUGCUGGUUUUAGGCUCGCCCUUUAUUGAAUGAUUGGACUAGCUCGCAAAAGAGUUGAAAAGUGGAUGAAACAAAAAGAAAAUGGUUGGCAGUUAUAUGUUUAUUGGUUAGCCUCUUAAUCAUGUGUCCCUUUCCAUUUCAGUAUUCUCCAAUGAUUAUGAAAAGACCUCUAGCUAUAGAGCCAGGUAGUAGCUAUAUAUAGUCGUUGGCGAAAGGACAAAAAGAGGAAUAAAGGUUAAUUGCUUGCUUUCAAUCCAGGAAAUACUAAAAAAGGCUCCACCCACCUGCGUCCACCCCCCCAGGGAUUUAACCAGCAACAGCUUAUCCACUGUCGGGAAUGCCUACUAUGCCUGAUCGGAUCACAAGAGUCAUCGUAUAGAAUGUCGAUACCCUUACCUCCUCAUCAUCAGAUUCACCCACCCGUAAAAGGCUUUCUCAUUUUCAGGCUGGCUUCGGUCAGUUCACUUUGUGUUAAGUGUACCGAAUCUCUCAAAUUACAGUCUUGGAUCGAGAAAGCUCCACCCAUAGUGCCUUAUGCCGGUCCCCGGAGGCUAAGAUUGACUGCUUCAAAGAACCAGACCCGGUACACCAAGUCGGUAGCCUUUUCUUCCACUCUUGGGAUAAGGGGCAGAUUGCAUUUUUACUCUUUCCCGAUCGGAGUCCAGACGGACUUGAUUUCUUCUUUAUUGAAGUCAGGAUAUCCUGUCCUCACAAAUGCCUGGCCUGUUCCUUUGCGGUACCCCCUUCUAUCCCAUUCCUCUUCUUAUCGGUUGGGAAAACGGCUUUGGCAAAGACAUCAAGACCACACAGAUAGAAGUUGAACAGAACCUGGGUCAAAGGACCUGAAAGGGGAAGACCCUUUCUUGAAGCGCAUGAUGAAGCUGCCCCCCUUCCACAGAAAGACUUAAGAAGUAGGAUAUUAGCCUCAUAAUAGAGCCGCAGGAAACCACAGGGUCCAGCUCUUCCAGAAGAUCGUUGUGCCACAGAUCACAAAGGCAGGGAAAGAAAGGCAUUACCAGAAGGAAAGUAGUCCAACUCAAUGUCUUACGCAUUAGUGGCAUUUGAAUGAAAGCAGUAAGUUAGUGGCCAAGAAUCAUCGAUUUUGGAGUUACCGGCUCAAGGAAGCUCAUGAGAAUUUCUUUAAGUAAGAACGAUCCCCAGUGUCAUCCUCUUCGUCUUCUCGAAAGGAAGCGAGUGACGAGAGGGUAGCAAAGAGAGGACCACUCUUUAGUAAGAUAGCAGCCAGUGAAAGAGUAGAACUUAUUCUCUCCAUUCAGAGAGAGUAAAGCCCAUUCCUUCAUAUGCUUACAGUAGUAUAAGGAGUCCGUUCGUGCCAAGAAAAGAAGUCCAAUAGCUGCGCUUACAAUAGAUUUAAUGGCAUUUAUUCCUCUAAGCAUGCUACCAGUCCCAGCUACUGAAACUGACUCUAGAGAACUUGAAUAAGGUUCUCUUUCACUCUCGGCUGAGUCAACAAAAAUUUGUAUAACAGAGGGAACCUUUUCUAUUUUUUCUACCUUACUACUGUGAUUGAAUGACUGAGCUAUAGUCCUAGCUCAAUGUUGAAUUUUCUUCAACAUUCUGAUUUGAUUCAAAAAAAGAUUAUUGUAAAGAAUAAUGCCCAUACAAAGAGUUUUGCACAUAGAAGAGAUGAAUGCCAGUAUUGUAGUAGUUGAUUCUCUCUAUUAUUGUCCUAUCUUCCUCUAUAAAAAGUAGUACCGGCUUAAUCUAAGCAGGAAUUCCUUCUUUCACUAACAGUUCUUGAAGGGCUUCAAAAAAACCUAUACUCCCAUUUUCCUUUCUUUGAGAUUUCUUCUAGGAGGAAAAAGACUUUCACGCUUUAUGGUCUGAAUUCAACGGAUCUCAAACUCUCCUUUUUUGAGCUUCAAGCCUUGCAAGCUUUCAAAGUCUUGCAUUCAUUUCUGUCUCAUUUUCAGGUAGAGCGUACCUGGCCCCUAUAGGAACCCCAUGAUCUGAUGGGGGGGAAUUCCUAUGAAAGAGGCUCACUUGGAAGGAGCGAUAUCUAGCAAGUCUUCUGUGAGUGAAUGGUCUCAUCCAGUUCACGAGUCAAUCCUAUCAGCCGCUCGGCCUAAUACUUAAGGACUGAGUUUCCUUUCUUCCUUCCUCAGGUCAUGUGUAAUAGCUGGAGGGCAGAAUUCGUAUCUGUCUGUCUGCAGUCCGUAUGUAGGUAUGUCCAGCGGUCCAGCCAGUGUAGGCUACUCUUUUUCUGUUAGUCCAUCCAGUCGGUCAGUUGAUAGUUUGAUCGAGGUCAUGAAGGCUAAGGUACCUUCCUAAACUGAGAUUUCAAUCUCAAAAAUGUUUUCAAAGCCUUUUUUGCUUCAAGGAUGUCCCGUCUAGUAGGAGAAGUGGUCCAAAGCGAGAGUCUUUCGGGUCUAUACCCAUAGCAUAGUCGUUGCCCUUCUUUUGGUACAGUGUAGGAGUCCUGGGCGGAAUUGCCUUGUUGGUUGAGUUAUCUCCUUCUUAAGUUAAGGAUCGGGAAUGCUUCCGAAAAGAAAGCUAGAAUAAGAUGACGACCGCUCGUGCACCAUCAAUAAUGGUAUACACUUCACUACAUGAAAGAGAAAGCCGGUACUGGAUGCAAGAGAGCAGGGAAACUAAAGAAAGACAAAGAAAGGUAACUUAGCCCAUUAGAAGGCUAGCCUAAUAGUUUACAUCGCUCCUGCAGGAAAAAGAGGGACUUAAAAUGGUGAACCCACCUAAGACCAUACCGAAAUGGUGAUAGACCCAAAACCCCCUUUUACAAUAACUUAACAAAAAGAAAAUGCACCUUAGCCAUAGGCCAAUGGGGCGGACAACCUGGGCCCUCAACGCUAACUCAAGGAAAAGACUCGCUGAUGGUCCCAUAUCCAGAUUUCGGGACAUAGGUACACGCCUUCUUUAUCCUACGAGACUAACUACAUUUCCAAAAGUCAAAACCAAGAUUCAAAUUAAGUUUCUUAUUUCUUACCUUAAGAAAGGUAGGGCGUAGACCACAAAGAAAAGCAAAUUGAACUUCCACAUCAUUUCACAGAUUAGUCUCUUCCCACGGAGCGAGCUCCAUCAUAAUUUAAUUCUCUGCCGGGGUACACAAUUUGCCAAAAACAUUUUCCCCAAUGGCCAAUUUCUCUCAAAUGGUAGAAUCGCCGCCCUCCUAAACAAAGACUUUGUUGUCCUUAAGAGAGUUGAAGACUGAGGCGGCUUUGUAUAGUAAGGGUAAUAGCAGAAUAUAUGGCUGAGAUAUCAAACCUCAGAGAGUAAAUAUGUGGUCACCAACGUUAGAGGCUCUACAACUCUUACUGAACCGCCUCUACUACAGCUAUGAAAGGGGGAUAAAAAGAAAGAAAGAUUUUUUUUUGUAAGAGCAGAAUCUCUCCAUAGUAGUCUCUCUUAAAAGAUCUUAAACACGAAGUGAAAUGGAGUGAAGAAUAGCCAGCCGGCUGAAAGUAUAGCUGUGGAUUGAUCUCCUUUACCCGCCCAUACAAAAAAGAGGAAGUCAUUGUCUUCAUACUAUUAGUGGAAGUCAUAGCUAUUGAUCAUACGCGGUGACGUUAUUUUAGCCCGGAGAGAGAAAUCUAUCUUUACUAUCACUCGCAAAUAAAUGCCUAAAGGAUUUAAAAAGCUUGCAUGGAACUCCAAGACCCCCUUGCUGGAGAUAGGGACCAUGCUUGAUGGACAUAUGAAAUAUUUCCAUACGGGGGCUUUCUCUCAACAGUGGAUUUCACUCCCUACAAGCAUGACUUAACACGUCUUAAAGAGAGUCUCACUGUCUCCGCCGUUGGGAAGAUUGACAUAAAAAGAGUAGUUCGCUAGAUUCACCAGCUAUUUAACCACUUUAGCCAGCUAUACGAAAGAGACUUUUGCACUCAAUUGGACCACUCAUAGCUUGGGUUGCCAGAAUUCGCAACUAUAUAAAAAGUAAAAUACUGAUCUACUCUCAUGCUUCACCUACGACUCUGACUGAUGAUGGGAUUACUUACUGAUCUACGACUACAGUUCUUGCUUCGUCCCUACUGAUGCCGGCACCUACUUGAUUAAAAGAAUCUUCGUCGAUGUCUUCAUCGAGUCGAGUGACGUUCAUCAUUACUAAUUAUCGAAUAGCCUAGUUAGUUUUCUCGUUCCACCUAUCCGUGCCACCUAUCUUCGCCUUUCAUCUAUCAUAGUGGCAUUUGAUGUCGGACGUGAUGUCUUCGACCCCGAAACAAGAAUAGGGGCAUGUGAUUGAUUCCUUCCUUUACUUUUGAAUCCCGCUACUUGUCUUGUUAUAGGCUACUUCAUUUUUUGGAAUUUGAUUGUAGGUAGAUUGAAUGAUUGAUGCAACCCUCUCAUUUGUCGAUGCUUUUCCAGUGCCUUUUCCUUUUUGGAUGAGCUAGUUACUGAACUUUGCAACUUGUUUUAUUUUAGCAGUGGAGGUAGAAGAAUGGAAGUGUAAUCUCAUCCAUCCGUUGACCGGCUAUUCGGUAGAAGAGCGGAUUCCAUGUUACUAUACCUAUACUUUAUUUAUCUAUUCUAGGCGUAUAAGUGCAGUGUCGGAUGAAAGCACCUUUGCUGUCUGACUAGACUGGUAGAACAAAUAGACUUUCAUCUUGAAGGCAAGGCGCAAUUCAAUCUCCUCCGCUCGAUAGGACUCUCUUUGCAUUCCCUUUCUCGCUCAUCUUUCUCUGGCUCAUAUCAUGCUCAUCUCAUUCGCUUUGUCUCAUUGCCUCAUUUGCUCUUUUAUUAGCAACUUUACUAUAUUAUUUGUAGGUACGGGUGAUGUGAGGCUUUUACCUUUCGCUCUCGACUGAUAGAACCUUUUCGAAGAGACUUAUUCCUGCACGCGGGUAGGAGACACGGCCCUCUUUCUUCUACCGGGAUUGAUAGGGCAAGAUACCAAUACAACCAAUAUCUCUCAAUAGGAGCCUUUCCACAAGAUUAAGAUUUCUAUUUCUUUCUGCAGCUUCUAGAGCGGACGUCGUGUCGUGCCCCUUUUAAAAAACUACUACCGCUCGCCCGAGCUCUUUUCGGGCUUAGCUCCCAAACUCCUGGCUAUCCUACCGAGUCCGGGGGUUGCACCCCCACCCCCCGAGCCCCCGGUACGCCCCAACUCCUUACCUGAGACCAGACCGAACGUCAGAGUCUUGUUUUCUCUUCCCCGAGCUGAGGGAACUCUCAAGAGAAUAGGCAUGAAGGGCAUAGUAGCAGUACAUCUUCUUGAACAACUUAAAAGUCUCUGACAAAGGGGCUUGUUGUUUGUCUGGUACAGCCUAUCUUCAUAGAUUAGAUGGACAGUUCCAUUGAGAAGAAUCUUUCAUUUGAACCUCAAAUCUAGAAGAGUUCGGCAAAGACUGCCAUAAAAAGGCUUCCAAUGGGGCUAGGAACAAAACAAGAGAAACAACAAACGCGCCUUCAAGGCAACCCCGCUACCUCCGAGACAGGCAUCCCUCCUACCCCGAUUGUCUUGCUUUUAGGACCCUUCGGAGGUGACCCUGGAUAUCCCUUACUUUGAGGUAACCACGAAACGAGGGAACCCCGUUCACUCCGAUAAGAAAGGUGUCAAGUCUGAAAGCCAAGCCUGGGCAAGAAGAGGGCUCACUACAUUCCAAAAAGGAAUGGUUGGUAUGCGGUCCAUCCUUAAAAAUACCCAAGGAAUCCCCCUUUUUUGUGAGUGUUCCAAAGCGUGCUUCCGUUUCUUGUUCUUCGAGCUCAACCGAUCAUGCUUCUUUCUCAGUUGCGCGAUUCCUAGCUGCUAGAUCCUAGAUCGGAGGAUGUAGGUGAGUCUGAUUGUUCUGACUUCUACUGUUAUAAGUUGCCUUAAGGCGCCUUCCAGUUCCAGCCCAAUAGGGGCACUUUCUGGUGAGGAAGAUCCCAUUUAGAAGAAGGGAGAACUACCUAAGUAUCCUUUCACCUUGAGCUAGGGUCAAAGAUUAGUCCAAGCUAGGAUCAGCUCUCGAAAGUCAAACUUCUCCUCUUUAACCGGUUGGAAAGUCAAGUAAGGAAAGGUCUGUUCAUUUGUCCAGAAAUCCGUUUUCGGCCUAUACUAUAUAUCAAUUGAACCAGGGGCUGGGCUUAUGUUGUGUUGACAGACAUAAGAAGUAGGAUUAAGAAUAGGGGAAGAGCAGCUCUACUUCUACUUCUGCCUUGAGGGUGAGCCCUUAUGGCUUGUUCCAUUGAUAGAUUAGUUCGAGAUCCGGCGGAUUAGCUUCCUUGUCUUAGUUCUGGAAGAGAGAGUCGAGGGUAGCUUGCGAUCCAAAGAGCUAGUAGAGCCUCUUAACUUUGAGUUAGAGUUGCUUUAGUGGAACAGAAUGUCAAGGCUUCUUCUUAUUGCUUUCCUUGAAGGACUUUCUCCCAUCUCUGAAUCGGUUACCCCCAGACGAGCCCACUUGAUUUAAAAAUGAGUUAAACCCUGACGCCUCUGGCCCGCGUCGGAGAUGAUGCUUGACUUUCUAUUCGGGCAUUUACUGGUCGAGUAAGUUUUUUAUAUCUUUUAGGCAGGUUUGUUUUGAUCCGGGUAAGAUUCUCGCUUGCGGCUUUCUUACUACUGGUAUGACUGUCUGGUUAGCCAUCUGGUAAGUAAGCUUUUCGCUUUACUCGUUAACCUGGUUUAGCCAACUCCCAACCUUCCACUGACUCGCAGUGACGCGGGCGCUUCUUCUAUAGCUCUGGACCCCACCGAUAAGCUUACGAUGGUACCCUUUAGUUAAGUAUUAUCUUGUUUAUUGGGUUCAAAAUGAACUGAGUUAAGUACCGAUCAAAAGAAGCAUUAUCCAUAAGCAGUUGCUGGGAAGAGAUUUAUAUGAGCACCGAUUGAAACGAAAAUAUCAACGAUCGCCUCAAAACGAACCACCAUUCUAGUUUGGUGGAACCACCAAGGCCUGAAUAUGCGUUUUACUUGCGAAAGGCCUCAGCUACUACAAUGACAGGGCCAAGAAAUUGGGCCGAAAUAGCAGCUCUUUCGAAGGAAGACGCUCCUAUUUCAUUGACAAGAUCAUGAUUAGACUCUUGCGGAGGAGUGGAGGAAGGAGGCGGAUCAGUUGGAAUUUGGGCUAGCCGACCGGGAGGUUCAAUUCCUCCCCGAUUCCUAUUUUAUCUAUCUUCCCUUGAAAGAAAGGAGAAAUCUCAUAAAAGUUUUCACUCAGAUCUUGUGGAGAAGAAGAAGCCAGUUCAUUUCGGACCCCGGUGGAUGCCUCAGAAGCGGAACUAUUGGAAUGAGCACGAGUAGCCGAAUUACUAGUUUCAUACGUGAGAUCAGAGAUAGAAUUAGAAACUUUGAUUUCCAGAAACUCACCUUGUUCCAUAGUUCAUGGGUCAAGGUUCGACCCAUACUUAUUAAUGUCUACGAUUGAGUGGCAUUUGUAUUUUUUCCUCUGCAAUUCCCUAGAGACAGAAAGAGAGUCCUUUACUGUACAACUAGUGAAGAACUAAACGAGAGCUAUGGUUAACCAACAUAAAGCAUGGGAAAAGGUUCUUUUUCAUUACAAUGCAAGAUGCACUUUGAGGAGCACAACACCAUGGAGUCCCCGAAACAGCUAUUCCCUUUCUCUAUUACUUACGCUAUUCUUCUGGUCAAGCAAGUAUGAUAGAGAUGGCGAGAAAGAUCAAGGGUUGAGAUGAGAAAAAAGGAUCACUCCUAAAAGCAGCCUUGAUCUUCUUAUACGAUACCACCCCUUGCUUCCGCCAAUCAACUUCUACCGAGCAUUGACCCGCGAAUGAUUGAUUUCAACUCUACUCUACUAUAGGACACCAUAACGAUGACUAUAUGAAAUAGAGAAAGGGUCCUUUCUUUCCUUGAGUUAUUGGAGUAGUUAGUAAGGGAUCGCCUUAAUCAAAUAAUGUAUUGCGCUAUCUUCCAUUUUCUGUAUUCCCUUAAUGGAAAAAGAGUAAAUAAAGUGGUAGAUGUCCUUCUGCUGCUGCCUAAGUUUCUGUGGUGCCAGUCGACAGAAUCGUGCUUUCGGGGUUCCAUCCUUUUAUAUAUUGAAUACCGUCCGCUAAUGGGCAUCGGUUGGUGAAGGCCUCUCCGUUCCUUCCUCUUCUGUCUGGUAAUAAGGUUUCACCCCGAAACUGAGAAUAAAAGGAUUUCUCGUGAGCAAAUCAACUCAUUGGAGAACUUGUUAUAGGCGCAAUCUGUGGACCAGAACCCUGAAGUCGACCAAUACCUUAACUCAAAAUGAAUUUUUUAACCUUUCUUCUCAGCCCUUGAAUUCAAUCCCUCAAAUAGAGUGAUCGGGAGUAAGAAGGAAUUGAAUCGAUUAACUGAGGAAGAAAAGGUCGUUCUACCAUCCCGCAAGAAAUAUCAUAAGAGAAGUUCAGUCUCAAAGAAAGUAUUAGUUGUUUACUCACCCGUAAAGUAGGAAUAUCAAGAAUAGGAGUCAGUUUUCAAGGAAAGGAGAAGUUCAGUAGUCCAUCCAGUCCAUCCAGAUCAAUAGAGUGGGGAAGAUAAAGAGAUAUGAUAGGCAUUGAAUGGAUUAGAAAAGCUUUCAUGGGCUAUCUCAUUCGUCAGGGUGUUCCUCGAUCAAUGGUUCUCUAUCUUUGAUUUUCUUGAUGAGUGGUUAAAGGGUGAUCGCCAUGUCAUGAGGCAGGAGUGAUAGAAGGGGGCAAUAGGUAUUGCACCCGAUAGAGCGGUAUUGGUCUCCUCGGCUUGAUGUGAGGAGUUGAUGGUUCCCCCUUCUGUGGUUUAGGGGUUCACGUGAGCUUAUAAACCAAUUGAAUGGCUAAAGUGGCUAUAGUAACACGCUUCUUUUAUGGUCUUUGACGGGUAUGAUACUCUUCUUACUCUUAUAGUACUUCUGAUAGCGAUAAUAGCCUCUUUUUUGGCUUUAUAGCUCCUCGUACUCUAACUGUAAUGUUAAGGGAGUGAGGGGACCAUUUGAUUAUGGCACCCGAUGGAGUGUAGUUGUCUAUUCCUCUGCCUUUCUACUAUCUUUAGUUAAGAAAAGUAUCUACUGUCAUAAUAGAUUGCACGAGAAGUGAGUUAACUGCCAUUAUCGGAAGUAGGUAGUUGAUAGUUGAGCCUUUCCUCCCUUAAGAAUCCUCCCUGUCAGUCUUUUACUUACCAGUCGAGCUGUUUUCUCCUCUUUCCCGAUUUAACGCGUCGUUGAGGAGAUGAGAUUACGAGGUGAAGGAGCGAGAACUUACCCCAAUUGGUAAUGAUAGAAAUCAGACUUAUCAAUAAUGGCAGGUGGGAUUGAUGCCAAUUCUUCUUAGGUUCUUUCUGAUGUGCCAUCCAUUCCUUUUCUUGUUGAUCAGCAAUAGACAGAUGAUUCUAUUCCAUCUUCUACACCGGGUUCUCCUGCUCAGCAGCCUCCUGCACCUGAGUAUCAAAGAAAAGAAGGAAAAAGGCAUUAGCCAAUCCCAGGAACGGAGCAUAGAAGGUAUGAGUUCGACACCUGGUUAUCCCAUAGCUUUAUGGCUUAGAAGAGUCGCUGGCAUUGGCUCUUUGCUUUAGGAUAGAAGCAGGGGAACCAAACCUCCAGUAUGAAUAGAGACUUCUUAGGUCUUCAGGAAAUCGAAUAGACUUCUCUUCUCAAAGAAUGGAUACUUCCUUCCUUUUGACUUCCUUAACUAGCUCAUAAUAGACCUAAGGAGAAGUGAUGUUACGAAAGGGAAAGCAGGAGCGGUAGAAGUCCAAGUAAAUGGAGUUGUUGCUCCGAACUUACUUUUUCAGAAAGACGGAACUCGAGUCAAGAAAGAACUCUGAGUUAACAAAGCAAAGAAAGAGACUGAAAAUUCCAUUCAGGAUAUAAAAAGUGGAUUCGCUUUCGUUAACAGAGAUCUUGAUAGAUCAAAUCAUAGCUAUGUAAAGUACCUUGAGGUGAGACGUGACCUAUUCUCCUCGUCCUCGUUUUCAUUGGGUCACUCACACUGAAACAUGCGCAAAGGAAUGAAUCGCUUAGAGCCCCGGGCCCUUUAAACUAAAAAGAAGUACAAGUGGGACGGACUAGCUAAUAGUCCAAUUCUCGAUGGUCGAGAAAGAAGUAAUUACGCAGGGAAUUCCACAGCUGAUUAACUCCUCAAGGCAGGUAAGAGUCAAUCCCACUUGGGAGUUUCGGACGUGCCCACAGCUGAUCAAUGCAUGAGGUCUUGUCAUAGCCUGGAGAUGGGGAAGAUGACUACAAGCGGUUGGGACCUAGCCCAACGGUGAACGAAGCAUAAUCAAUUGAAGCAUCCGGGUAGCCCCCUCCAAAGAGUACCACGAGCAGGAGCUUCGGAAGCACGCCUGUCAAAGGACAAGGGGCUUACACCUAUCGUAGAGGUUAAGUGGGAGGUCUAGGGUUCAAACCCCAUAAGAGGACUACCACUUUAUUAACCUGGGCGAAUAAAAAGCCUGUGGCUUUGGGAAUGAAAUUCAUUUCGAUGAGACUUUCAAAGUCACACUUUGACACGAAAGAACCGAGACAGCCUUCACUUCAGGCGGAGAAUAUAGAUAGGUGGCCAAGCGCUGCUUUCAUUCAAGCUAUGCAGGUAAAGAUCCUAAAAGGACUUUAUCAUCAAUAGCCACUUUAGUUAGACACGUGUAGGGAACUAGAAAAAGAGACAACUUUUUAGCUGCAACUGACCACCACCCAAAGAAAAAAGGCAAGAUUGGAUGCUUCGCAAAGAGCCCUUUAAGAGGCUCGGGUAAUGUGGCUUAGAGGUUGCACGCCUAGGAGAAAUAUGGAAGAGGGCCAGAGGAUCAGAAAUGAGCGGAGUAGGAGCUUAUUAUUAGUGCUCAAAAAGCCAUUCGAGCUAGUCUUUCAACUAGGCUAGGCGAAAAAAGCAAGAAUGUCUCGUCGACUUAAUAACCGGGCAUCGACCUCUUUGACUUAAUAAAAUUGGAGUCCCGAGAUGAGAUGACGCAUUUUCUAUAUUCACCCGGUAAUAAAGAAUAUUCCUUAUCCUAAUACGCCUAGGUCUAUUGCUAUUUCACCGGAAAAAGUCGAUAUCGAUAGCCCUACUCUUUGCCCGGUUUGCCUUCCUAUCCUCUUUUCCGAAGUUGGCUAAGCAACUCAGUCCUCACCCGAAAGAGAAGAUGGUCCCACCUCAACUGGUGUAACUGACCUACUUACUAUUCAUAUAUCCCAUCCCAUCCGGGAUUCCCUUGGUUGGUAUAUCGUAUAGAAGGCGUCUCUAGACCCUAGCUAUUCCGCCCUAUCAAAGCCCUCUCGGGCAAGGGGGGAUGGACGGACAACAAUCCCUGAGGGAAAGGUAGAAGCAUAAGUACUUAGACUAGAUGUCCUUAUCAUCACUCUUUUUCUCACGCCCGCCCUGGCGCAUUUCUGUACUCAGUCUCGAGGCCUUAAACAAGGGAUUUACCCUAAAUCAAUAAGAGAAAAGAUCUCUUUUCUCCGCCCCACUGCCAAAUGAAUGUGUUCUUCCAAUGGCCAUUUCCAGUCCUUUUUAGGCCAGUUAAGAAGUUCAGGGGCUAAGCGGUGAAUUAGCUUUUAAGCUUAAGAGAAUGCCCAGGAGAAGGCCCUUAAGUAGCAGUCUCAUAGCCUUUUUGGCUUAGUGUGUGAGAUGCCUGUCUUAACUUUUGUUUUGAGAGUCUCCUUUCUCCGGGUCAACUGCAAAAGUAGUGGUGAAAACCUUAGUAUUAGGGUAUUAGGUAUGUGGUAUUAGUCUUAGUAGAGGCUUUCCCCCUGUUUGGAACCCUAUUUUGCGGGGCUAAAGCCCUUUUUGAAUAUUCAUAGAGUAUAUACUCAAUUCUGAAAGAUAGGUUUGGAAAUCCACUGAAAGGUAACUCUUCCUAGUUUUCUUUCCUAUCCAACGGAAAACUGCUUUCACUGCGACUUUGUAGCUCCGAAGAGAAGGAAGUAGCUUGACUUUCACGACUAUCAGGGCACCUACUGAACUAGAUCCAACUCAAAAGAAAGCUCCAACUCUAUCUAGUGAAGGUAGUAUGAGGCAGAGCCAAGACUAAGAGAGGAGGAUUUGAAAAAGAAGCAAAUAUGGCAUACGAGUUUAACUAACAUGGGAGUUUAUUUCCCACUUUCUAGGUAAGAUAGAGCGGAAAAUAGACAGGUUUGUACCGUAUAAUCAAAAGCAGUAAAAUUAUAGUACCAUGUGCUGAUCAGUCACUAGUGAAGAAGCCUUUCGCUGUCAGAUCACAGGAAUUAGCACCUAGAAAGGGAAGGACUUAUACCAUGAACGGACUCUUUACCUUGGGUCAAUCAAUUCCUUGGCUUACUAAUGACCACUUCGAGAAGAACCUUUUUGAAAACAGUCUAAUGCCAUAUCUUACUUAACAGCUCCUUCUUCCUUUUCUUCGUUCCUUCUGUAAAGGCAAGGGAAGCAGAAGACUCACAAGUAUUCUCAUACGUGAAGGGUUCAAAACGUCAUUUUCUAUAAGCAGACUUUGAGACUAUACGAACAAGAACUAGAUCACACCCGGCACAAGGAGCGAGACAAGCACUAAUGGCACUUUCCUGAGUGGAAGUGGAAGAAUGGAAGGAAGUGAAAGCACCCCUUCAAACGAUACCUUCUCCUAGGCACGAGGCAACUAGACUCUCUUUGAUGACCUAUUCUACGCAUGAACUCUACUCCCACUUGAAGAGGCAGUAGGAGAUAGAUCCAUUCCUUCCACUUCGUUAAGAUUUGGUCUUUUUGUCUAGCAGAAGUUUAUGAACACAGUUCGAAUACAAGAGAAACAACUAUACCGGUAGGAACAAUGGGAUAUCUUGCACCUGAGUAUGUUUAUUCGGGUAUUCCCACCGAGAAGACAGAUGUUUACAGCUUUGGUGUGGUAGUGUUAGAGGUGGCAACGGGGAGAAGGCCUAAGCAUAAACCUCUUCAAGCUUGCCUUCCCGAAGUCUCCAUACAAAAGCUUUAGUUCUUUCUUUUCUUUGUUCCUUAGGAUGUCUUACCCUAGGGAAUAGCCUUUAUUAGUUAGAUUGAUCCUAUCUGCUUCUUAGCUUAGUUAGCUUAGUCGAAAGCUAGAGAUUGAUUGCCUUUCACUUGAAGUAAAGCAAGUUUCCUCGGUCAAGCUUAUCCCCCCUUUCCCGCAUUAAAGAAGUGAAUAGACGAGGGGUAAUUGGCUUAGCUGGUAAAGAGGUAGACGGAGAGGACUGAGUUUAGAAAGAACUCUUUUCAUCCAACUCAAAAUUUCUUAAGAGAACAAGUGAGAAAUUGGAUCGAGAAAGCACCGCCCACUCUCUUCCUUCGACGAUCCACUGGUCCUGAUUCCCCAAAAAACUAACGAUUUUCCAUUUCUUUUGGAUGACUACUCCUACCCUGCGGCGAUCUCUCUUUAAUCCCCGCAAGGGCUACCAUUCAAGGGAGACGGAUUACUUCCUUUCUUUCUGAAAUCUCCACCCUAGGUAAGAUCCCCUUUAAGGCCCCACACCAAAAUUUGAUCAAACCCCUGUGUCUUGAUUCAAGGCUCGGAUCCUCUCUUUAUGUAGAAGGAAUUCAUCCCAAAGUGAGGACCCAAGCUGGGAAGGUGCUACAUAUUGUAGUGUAAGCACAAAGAGAGGUCUUCAAUCUUACCUGUGGGAUGGUAGCUUUACUUCUUUACUCUCUCUAUUCUAGUUGAGUAAGGAAGUCCUCAUAGCAACUAGUUUGUGAAUGCCUAAAUCGCUCUUUUAUAAUUCAUUAAAAAGACAGGGUUUUGAUUAAACUAGCUCACUUAUGCCAGUUUCUGCGUUCCCGAGAGGUUCCAUAAACGUUCUUUCUCUUUUUGUACCUGGCGAGGUACUUGCUAGCUCAAUCCGUUGCUUCUUGUUUUCUUCAUUUAGCUGCUAAGAGUAGAUUAAGCACUAAAGUCCUUACUCAACUCUUAGCUAGUUAAGGAAUGUAGCUUUAAGCAAGCGAGAAAAUGGAUGCGCUAACUGUUGCUUUCUUCGCUCCUUCGAUUAGCUAUAGGACAGGCAGGGAUUCUUUAUCUUCCCUCUCUUCGUCCUCGCUUGCCUUUAGCUCUAGCUGCCUUGUCUUAGCUAGCCCUUUUGGACUAGCUUUCCUUGCCUUGCGCUGAACGGACCUGAAACGUCCACCACCCUCCUUUUUAUCUCCAUUUCGCUUGAUCACCUUGUACUGAAUAUGGUAUAGCGUGGAGCGCAUACCUUAGCUUAGAUCGAUCCCAUUCCCUGUGAUCCCUUAUCGCGUUGAGCCUUGAGCCCAUACCGAUUAGGUAGAGCAUUGAGCACUGAUCUCGAGUGAACUGAACUGAUGCCAAGGGAACUGAUCCCCUGUUAACUUUGAAACCUGUAGAGUAUCCAAAACUUUUGGACGUGUCCCGUCCGAGCCAAAGAGCUGACUCCCUCCAAAGAGUCCCGACAAAUGAUGAGUGAGACGAGAUGAAGCAUGAAGAAACCAUGAAACACUUGGUUUCCACUGGGGUUGUAGAUGGAGCGAGCCGACCUGUUAUGAAAGAGAAGGGAUAAAUAGUCAGAAAAGAGCUCCAGUAUAAAAAUAUUUGUUCGUGCAUAAACCAAACCAUUUGUAUACCACCCCCUGAAUAGGACUUCGGCAGUGAUAAGAUCUUGUCAUGGGAGGAAAGGGUAGAAAGAAUAAGAUAGUAAAGAACCCUUUUUUUUGUGCUAGUAGCUUAUGAGUCAGAUGCCUCUUCUCUCUGGUCCAUAGCUAGCAACUCAUCGUACCAAGCGCGGCAGCCUCACCCCCUCAGGAACGGAAUCCUACCCUUUGGAUAUGUUAGCCAAACAGCCCGGAUGGGACGAGACUAGUCCGGUCAACAGAUACUAAAUGAUACCUCGCCUUCAGUACUAUCAGUACUCCGGCUAGUCACUUUGGAUCCCCAUAAGUACUGCCUUCUCUCCUUCACUCGGUAGGGCACGGGCAUUAGCCUUAAUAAAGUACGUUUUCGUUUUCACGAGUAGAAAUACGAUUGAUUGAAGCAGGCAACGAAGGGGACGAAGUAGCAGCAACUUUAUAUGAUAUUGGGCGGAUUUCCAAGACCCCUUUUCUAACAUAGUUGGGGAUUCGGCCUGGUUCCAUAGAGGGAAGAAUGGCAGGGGCCCUGUCGUACGAAGGGGACUGAGAGUGCACUUUGCGAAGCUUCUUUUAGAUAAAAAAGAAGCCGGAUUGUGGAGCUGUGAAGCGACAAAGUAGACUUCUUGUUUAUUCUACUUACAGUGCCUCUCUCGAAAGAGAACAAGUAUAAUAUUCCAGCCCCAGUUCUCAGGAAUUCCAUUUCGAUCUAAACCCGACAACCUUCUUUAUGAACUUAACUUGUAGCGGAGAUAGAAGGUAUAAACCAGAAUCUAUUUUCUUUUUUCAUUGGAAUGGAACCGCGUGAAUAAGGUACCGUUCAAACCAAGUUCCUAGCCGAGCUUCGCUUGAGGGAGGACAACUACUUCUAUUGUAUUGGCUCUAAAUCUAAAUGGAACACCUGAUUUAAGAAGUAGAAAAAGGAAUGUAAAAUAUGGUAAGGCAAUAUAACCUUAUUUUACUAUUAGUCCGGUCGAUACAGGAGAUCCAUAAGAUCCACAAACAAAAGGGACUUGGAGUGGAUUCCUCUCUUCUUCCUUCCGUACUUGUACUAUACUUUACUUUUUUUAUACUAGUAAACUAUCAUCACAAGCCAAACUAGCAACAACUAGAUAGGGUACACGCUCAGUCACUAUAUCUUGAAAUCCUAUUUCGGUGAACUCUGUCAUUGUGGGAUAUUCGGAUUCCCAACCUACCAGUGAACCACCAGAAAAGUCAUUAAGUCCCGAAACCCGCCAUUACUCAACUCUCCUUCUUGGAUACCCUUCAAUUUGACCGGGAAGCCGGCCUCUUGCAAUAGUUGGUCCAGUCUCCGGCUCCAGCUUAUGCGCUACCUAGGUGAUCCCCUCUUCCAAAACAAGUUCCGCCUGUGUUAACAUUUUUUUAAAGCAAAAGAGGUAUUUCAUGGUUUUUAGUGUAUAGAAUCAAAGAAGCUUUCUCGACUUGGAGAUGACCUUCUAUAAAAAAAAAAGGACUACUUUAGAAGAAAGCCCCUUUUCAUCUUUCGACUUGGCUAAAAGAGCAAUUAAAGGUAGGUUGCUUCCUUCUUAUGGCUUGCGCUAAGAGCGCUCCAUAGAUUUAGCUUUAAAUGCUCCCUUUCUUUGCAAGUUUUAAUUCAUUGGGAAGCUAAGGGCUCAGAGAGGCUGAAAGCUCAUAGAAGCCCCACAAGUGCGAUGGACCGCAGGUUUAAUCAUUCUUUGAUUCUUUUCUUUAAAUAGUGACUCCUUUACUCUAAUACUGUACUUAUGGCGCAAUCAGUGUUGCGAUAUCUGUCUGAAAUAGUUCGAUUCCCUCUUAUCAGUGUCUUGAUGUCAAACAGCUAGUGGAAGCGCUUGAAACACCAACUGGUGUCAGUAUGGAUACGUAAGGCUGCGAUCCUAAAUCAGUGGAUGUUCCUCUCUUUCCUGGGAGUAUAAGAAUCAAAUGGGUCUAAACCCGGUCAAGGAAACCGGUGUGCUUGUUAUUUGCUUAACACAUGGAUUUCGAAUGCCUUUAGGGUUUUAGGGUUAGGGGUGGAAAAUGAGAGCAGGCAGACAGCGCCCUUGCUACUAGCAUUCAAAAGACAGAGGAUUCUCGUGCAAACUCUUGUAUGCAAAGAGUGAGAUUCAUGGUUCUUGUUCUUACUAAUUUAUAUAGAUGAGGCAGCUGUACCUGCUUAUUCUAGAUCUACUAAAGCAGGUAAUUAGAGUAAGAAAGAUCUCCUUUUAGAUCUUGAUACUCUAAUUAAUUGGAAAGUCUUAUCCUCAUCUGUGGAAACACCACACCGGUGGAGAAGUUCUCUUUAUAUCUAUCAUUGAGGGAUUUCUAGACACCAAAUGGAUCAAAGAACUAAUUCUUUUUGGUCUGACUCCCUGGUUUCCAUCUUUUGCCCAGAGCUAAAAUGAGUUAUACGGCCGGUAGCAAUAACCCCUUUUUCAACCAUCUGACGUGGGGGGAUAUCUCUAAACACCCUACCUAGCGUGUUGGAAGGACGUACUCUAGUUGGUUUCCAACGCAUCUCAUUUUCCCAGAAAAAAGCCAGAUAAGAGGGGACUUGGGAACUGAACGAUGUUAGCGCAAGGGGCUAAAAUGAAAAGGCAGGUAGCAUUCGAUAAGCAGGCAGGUUUGGGAAACUAGUACCAGGUACUAGGUCGAUGGCAUGCUGAAUACUCCUCAUCGGUGGUAAACCAUGGGAAGAGCAUCACCAACCAACUCCUUCAAAUCUUUUAAGAGUUUCUGAAUGAAGAAAAAUGUCGAGAGAAUAGUUUAAUGCCAGCGAAUAGCGUAGGAAGUAACCAAGUGUGAAUGGUGGAAAGCUAGCAAGGGAAAAAGCAUUAGUUUCGACGAAGCGAUUCUUUACCCCUUAAGCGUAAGAGAAAAGUACUUUAAAGCAAGGUCGGCUAGCGAACCCCGCUACUCCUUUGUCUUGGAGGAAGGGAAGGCUAGUACCGAAGACAGGGGGAAAGUCGAAGAAAGAUAGGAAGGCGAACUUCUUGAAAACGGAAAUGCUGGAGAAGACAGACGAUGGCUAGCUUUUGGGCUGUCUUUCCUACUACCUGUGCUAAUCCUAUAUACAAAAAAGAAACUUUAUAAACUGGGCUAUUGUUAUAGGAUGUCUCUGUAAAGUGGAAUUCAUCCUUUGUUUUUUCCUUUCCAUUCACUCGGAUCUCUUCUGUUUCAUAGAUUUUGUCCGGAUCCUCCUUUUCUUCCGAAAAAAGGGAAGGAGAAGGAUCUCCACCGGUGGAUCCCUCUUGUUCCUGUUUAGCCCCCUUCAUUUCAGAAGCUGUUUCUAUUUCUACAUCUGUUUGUUCCUCACUUUCCCCCCUUUCUUCCGUUGUUGGGGUUUCUUUCAGUUUCUUAGUAAUAAUGUCACUUUCCCCCCUUUCUUCCGUUGUUGGGGUUUCUAUUUCUACAUCUGUUUCUUCCUCACUUUCCCCCCUUUCUUCCGUUGUUGGGGUUUCUAUUUCUACAUCUGUUUCUUCCUCACUUUCCCCCCUUUCUUCCGUUGUUGGGGUUUCUAUUUCUACAUCUGUUUCUUCCUCACUUUCCCCCCUUUCUUCCGUUGUUGGGGUUUCUUUCAGUUUCUUAGUAAUAAUGGGUGACGGUAUUCUGCCUAAAUAGUAGACACAGGUAAUAAAUAAGAGAAUACUAAAGAUUCGAGCCAUAGAAUUUAUCAAUUCUGACACAAGGUACUUAUUAGAUCGAAUGUACUUAUUCGAUCUAAUAGAAUGAUUUUGCCGUAUCCAGACUAAUACCAAUCCAACCCAUUUCAUGAAUAAAAUGUGACCAAUUAACCAACCAACAAAACUGCUUGUUACAAAUAACAUCUUGUUGUUGCAUCGAAACAUAUAAAUGUUGACUAAUCUGGCUAACAUUGAACUUGGUAAAAUGAAAUGGUUGAAUAAUUGAAAAAUGAGAUUAUUCAGGAAUACGCAUUGAAUGCUAAGAUUACGCAUUGAAUUUCUGGUAGUAGAUCCAUAAUCAAAAAAGUUUUUGUGAUUAUUCCAGAAGAAAUGAAACAAAAGAUACGGUAGAGCUAGUACAGUUAUUGUAUGAGGUCUACCCAAUGCUAGAUGCAGAGGCGCAUAAUAGAUCGAUAUGAACAUCAUGAGCUGUCCCGUAAUAAAACCUGUUGUUGCUGAUACCUUCUUCUCGGUUCCUUCUUCUCCUUCUUCCAUAACCCGAGCUCGGAGAAGGAAGAGAUAAGAGGGCCCUAUGGAGAAUGUGGUUAGAAAUCCAUAAUAGAGUCCGACCACAAAGACUGAAUUUAUUAUCUUCAUGCAUAAGGAUACUAGAUUACCUAGUAGAAAAGAUUUCAAAAUCAUCACAAACCUCCCUUUUUCUUUUCUAUUGCAAUUUCUGGAUUAUUAUAUUAUAUGAUGAUUUUUGAACUUUCCAUAUAUAGAAAAGAAAUAGAAAGAGAUAGACUAGAAACGACAUAUGUUAUGUCAAUGACACCAAAGGGAUAUUAAAUGAAUGGAAUUGGGAUAUGGAUGGAAUAUAAUGAAAUAGAGCCACUUUGAGGUUCCCUAUGAAAUGAGACAUGGAAGGGGGCCACUACGAAGAAGUUUCGGGAGUUACGAAGGAAGCUUCGAGCUCAUAUUGGUCAUGGGUUGAGAACGGGAAUUGAACUCUAUGAGAUCUAAUCUCUCGUUGUUCCUUAGUAGCUCAGUGGUAGAGCAGUCGGUUGUUAACUGACUGGUCGUAGGUUUGAAUCCUACCUGGGGAGAUUUGAUAGUUAUCGCUUUCUGACCUAGCGACCCCUGUCCUUCUCCUUAGUUUCUAAACUAGCAGAAUUGUGGGACAUCAAAAGUUGGAAGUUUCUUUUUGGUUUUUAUUCCUCACUCUCGUAUAGGUGAACUUGGUUCGUUCCAUUCUUAGGGAUCCACUGGGAAUGAAUGGGAAGACUGGAGUAGUAUCUUCAUUAGCUGGAAGGAAUUAGUCUCCACUAGCCUCAUUCAAAGAACGAACAAGAAAAGGGUUACUUUUUAGGUAGGAUAGAUGGAUGUGGUCCAAUGGCUAAAGCUCUGCCAGCUUCUUGUAGACUGACUUCUCUUUAGGCUCCGAGUUGUUUUUGGGUGGGAUGGUAAAAUUGUUCUUCGCCACUCGGUACUGAAGUUCUUGGUAAUUAGCAAGGGGAAGGAAGAUCCCCACUCAUUUCAUUCAUUUAGUGCCUGCGGUGAGGCGCGACCCACAACAAACGAAGGGGGAAAGCUUGCUUUGCUUGCUGUAGCCCUAUUUUAGUACCUAAGGCUUGGUAAGCGUAAGCUAUUUAAGUAGGCUCGCAGCUUCGCUUAGCAGAAGAGCCUUACUUUCCUAUUCUAUUAGUCAAGCGCUAGCACCCAACCGGGCAAAUUUGUAGGUUCGAUUCCUGCUGAAUGAACUUGGAACGUUCAGUUCAAUCGCUGUUCACAGAAUUUAUACAUAUAGCUCGCCCUUAUAUCUUAUGGGGUACUUCACUCGCUUAACACUCGUUCAAAACAUCCACUCGUUCUUCACUCGCUAGGGAAAGAAAAAUGAUAGAUUACUGAAAAUCCCGCUUAGAGAUCGCAACUAUAGUCAGCGUAGGAGUUCCCAUCCAUCAUCUCCGUCAAGGCCUUGUUUUACCUGCCAAUUACGAUAGAUCCAUCGGAUUGAAACCUCCAUUAGAUUCAGCAACUAAGGACGAGAUUCCCAUUGCAUCGGCUUUGAUGUCCCGAAUGUUCUCGGUUGCCUUGACCGAGCUCUUCACCGUAGAACUUUUACUCGUUCAACUGGAGCACAGCUAGACUUUCAUCGCUUUCACUAGAACCAGAGUCAUAGGGGCACUUUUUUUUUUCCUUCCUUAAGUCCAGGGAUGACCCCUAUGUUUUUUCAUGGAGCGCAGAAUUUGCCUUAAUCGGCGAGAGUAUAUACAAUCUAUUUCACUGGCAAGAGCAUGAUUGAGGGCUUUAUACUGUAGUCUCUAACUCUUCAAUUGGUCGCUCUACCUCCAGCCCCUUCAUAUUUCGUAUCCUACUGCUUCUUUACUUGUUUUUCUCGAUCAAGCAUUCCUGUGCUUAGCAAAGAGGUAGUAGCAUUUAGCGCGGCAAGAAUUCCAUUUUCCGGAUAAGCCGACGCAGCUCUUGCUUGUUGUCUGUAUGUGGUAGGGCCUAAUUGCCCGGCCACCUCUUUAUCUCAUCUCUUGUCAACACUAGAACUUUUUCAUAAAUGAUGCCAUUCCCGACUCCCAAAAUGAAGCUCAAUCUCUAUUCAUUAGUUCAGUGCUAAGAUGUAGAACUGGAUCGUAUAUGGGUCAAGAGAUCUUCAAUCUAGAAUUCUCUUUUUUAUAUUGCAAUCCUUCUUAGUGAGAAAUUACUCUAAAGACUAUGUAGGGGAAUGCACUAUAGGGACUCAAUAAAAUGAAAAAAGGAUUUGAGACUUAGGAAAUGAAACUUCCAUUCAACCAUAGUCGAGAGGAAAUAAGUCUAAUAAGGCACUAAGGGGGAAGCUUAGAGACGGAAUUCAAAUAUCAGAAUAGAGAGAGGAGUACAUGGGGGGUGCAGUAAACAUAACUCUAGCAAUAUAGACCGGGCCUGCUUCCCAUUCAUUCUUUUAUAAGGAUGCUCUUCGGCUGGUCAAUAGGGCACAUCGCUUUCGCUUCUAUAAUAGAGGCGCUAUAAUAGGCGCGCUUGGCAAACGAAUAAAAACCUUGGUCCGUUUUCAUUGGUCUAGUCCGGUCAUUGUUUUUCUCUUUCUUCUCUAUCGGUGAAUUGGGGGAAAGAGUGAACUAAUAAGGGGAGGUGAUAAAGCAAGAAAUAGGGAAGUAGAAUAGUUGGCACACGCUAGUCAAUCCAGUACGUACGUCGCUUUCGUUCUUUCUAUUCAGUCCUCUCCUCCGGUAAUACGUCCUCUAGCCCUUCCUGCUCAUCUGUAAACUCUCGCAACAUCCCGCUUGGAUAGCGAAGUAAGCAAUCAAAGGGCUGACAUUAGUGAGCACUCAUAGCGUCCUUGCUUUCUCUUAAUCAGUAAUUAAGGAUCUCUCCUCCUUCUGGUAGGUGCAAGCAAUAAAAGGAAUAUCAUUUCAAUAAGACCAUUCCAAUCAGUAAAGGAAGAGUUAUUCCCUUAAUGAUAUAUUGAAAUCUCUCUUUUUUCAUUCAAGGUUAUGGAAGUUUAGUAAAGUCUUCUGUUAAGGUAGCAUUUGCCUUCCCAGGAAUCAAUCCCUUUUGGCAGUGAGUCGAAAGUGUUAGUGAGAAGCCCUCUCAACUCUAGGACUAUUCCACUCUUCUCUGAGUGCCUUCAACAGUGCUUAGGUAGCGCUCACAGUGAGAUAGGCAGCUCAGCUUAAACUUAUUCCUACCCUAAUGUGUCAAGAAUAGAAUAGGUAGCACAAGUCAGCAAGCAAGCAUAGACAGAUCUAAGGUAUCCGGAUCAGAAGGCCCCAACCCACCACCUGGGUCGAGAAAGCGUAAGCAAUCGGUGUCGUCUCAGAAAUGAGUCUAAUAAGACGGGUGGGGACGCGCUACAGCCCCCUUUUUGGGGCCUCCGCUUGCUCCUUCGAAACUAUACUGGCCGUCAACCAACGAGCAAGCCAGCUACCUAGCCUGCCACCAAGCCUGCCGUACCUAUUUCCAUGUCCCUAUGGUCGAAAAAACUACAUACAUUGACCUUAUCCUACUCCAUGCCCCGGUCAUCUAUGCUCUCUCAUCAGCUAUGGCAAGAACUCUUGUCAGCGCCUUAUCUUACUUUGAUCUAAGAACCUGAACAUAAGCUAUCCUUUGACCUUUUGAACCUCACCUUACGUAACCUGACGUAAGAAGAUUUGCUUUAUUUAAUGCAGCAACCACCUCUUUCUGGUGUGCAGAGCUAGACAGAAGGCUUCUUAAGACAUCGCUUUCAUACUCCACUCUCUAGUUCACUGAUUGAUCCUUCCGCUUUUAUAACAGAGGCUAAAAGGUGUGAACGAAGAAAGCUUCUUCUCCAGAUUCCACAAGAAAGGGUUCGGAUCAUUAGGCUUUGCCCAACCUCCCCUCAGGGAUCGCGGAGUCAGGUAGAUCAACUACUUGUAAAUAUCUCCUCACAAAAGAAUAUCCCCUCACUAAACCUCAUAAUAUCCCAUCCCGAGGUCUUAGCCGAGACUUGGCUUACGCCCUUUGGUCUUUCUUUUCUCGUUUUAGUAAAAGGCCUCCAGCUGCAGCAAGGCUAUCUUGAAUUCCAAUUUUCAAUGAUUGAAAUGAAUUCCUCUGUAUUCUGCUGUGCUCAGCGAAAAAAUAGGUUUCUAGGACUAAUAGUUGGAUUCUCUAGCCAAGAAUCCCAUUAUCUUCAGGAAAUGAUGAAAAGGACAUGUACCACCGAAAGGUUGCCCUUCGGGCCCUGUUCGUGUUGUGGAAUGAAGACAAUCCACCUUGGAGUGAAGUGUACUGUUCUGUACAGUGGGGCAAAUAACGACUUUCAUAUAGCUAUUAAUAGAUAGGCUUCCAGUAGCGUAAAGCGAAAGAGAUGGCAGCUCAGGCCGGGAGUCGAACCCAACGGUGCCAUGAAUGGAAAAAUCCUUCUUUUGAGCCUAAAUCUUCCAUUUCACAGGAAAGAGAAGAUGCAAGCAAUAGACCAUGCCCUAGUUCGGUGCGCGAAGGUCUCUUUUUUUCGUCGAGGCAUCUGCUCCGCCUGGUCACGAGUUGGGCUCAAACCAACACCUCUGGACUGGAAAGGGAAAUGAACUCCAACCCCACCUCUCCAACAUCAGAAUAUAAAGAUUGUAGCAUAAAGCGUGCCUUGCCUUAGCUACUAGAUCAGAGCUCUCGCAAGGUGUAGAGGAAACCCAAACCAAUUGGAAGAAGUCAUCUCCCUUGCUGGAGGAAACGACCUUCUUCCGGGAAGAUUCAACUCGAGUUGGAGUUGGCGGUUCUCCGCCCCUUUAGCUCUUUUCGAGCUUUGCCACUCAACAAAAUAAAGAAAGAGCAAAUCCUGGCUUUAAAGACCGAGCAAAACGCCCCUUCACCCCCGCGCAAUUCAGCUCUUCUGUAAGGGUAAAGAACCACCACUAGAUUCUGGCUUUAAGGCGGAAUUGGCAUUAUGCUGCCAGAGGAUAGCGAAUGUACUAGAGUAGCUUCCAACCCCUACUUAGAAAACAAGAAUAAAGGAUUAAGAGAAGAGCAUAUAGAGGAAGGUUGGAUGUAAUUCAAGUACAGAAAUACGGACAUGAGCCCCCACAAACAAGCUCUCAGGCAAAAAGAAUUGGAAAUAGGCCAAGCCUUUUUCUAGAACUGUUCGGAAGAACACAUAGGAGCCUAGCUGAUCAAGAUCCUCAAGAGUCAAGAGAAAGAAAUUGAUCGAAAGAGGAUGGUUCGCUCGAUCCGCUUCCUUUAGUAGUUAGUUAUAAAUGUAUGAUAGGUCUAUCAUUGUUGGCUAGGAAGUCUUCACAAAAGUAGCCUUGGCAAAGGCUGUGAAUAGGGGUCACUGUGAGUUGUUUGAUCUGGUACCCGCAUAAAGCAUAGCUCUUCACGGGUGAUCCUUAAUCUCAGCAUUUGUAAUCAGACUUAGAGCUUCUGCAGAAUCAGUUUCAAGGAUGCCAUCUUUUAUUUCAUAACCUUCAACAGCAUUAAUCGUCUUUCUAUUGCCCAAAGUUUAGCAGCUAAACUUGAUGCUUUUGCCAUGUGCCCACAAAAAGAAAAUAACCAUCUACCUUGGUCAUCUCUUGCAAUCCCUCCAAUCCCAGGAGGGCCAGGGCUUCCUUUUGCACACCCAUCAGUCUUCCAUUUUAUUCUACCUGCAGGUAGUUGCUUCUUCUUUUUGUAAGGAAAGGACAAUUUUCUUAGUCUUGUUCAAGGUUUGUUCCUUACCUUCUGGGAGAGGAAUAAAGUAAAGGGAUUCAUUCACAGAUGAGCCCUUGCCUAUACCAGAGAGAGAGAUCGAUAUAGAGACAACGAGGCCAGGGGAAGAGACCCAUUCUUUAUAAGAGAACGGGAAUACGGAAUGGACCGAUACGCUCGAUAGAUAAAGACAAAAGAGCAACUACAGUUGCGACAGAUUCCUACACCUAUGGGCUCAGGUAAGGAGUUGUUUCAGGAAGGGAGCUAGAAGCUGUGAGUGAACCCAAAGGCAGCGAGUGGGGUAAGUAAAAAAGGGGUAACCAACGAGCAAAGAACUCCGCCUCCUUCUUGGUGGAAGCCAGGGUAUCACUUCAGUGAUACCUGGGCGAAUUCUGCGAUUGCCGCUUUCAGGUGAAUUUGGAAAAUAGGGCAGGGCAAAUGCUUUUUCUCGAAGAUGCGGCGAUUCCGCUCUUUCCGUACUUCCCAACACGUAAAGCAGAAGGUAGUACACCUUUUUGGGCUGAUUUUGAAAUUCUUCAGUGAACCAAGACAACACAGCCAUUCUAAAAGAAUUUGGGUGAGACCAUGNNNNNNNNNNNNNNNNNNNNNNNNNNNNNNNNNNNNNNNNNNNNNNNNNNNNNNNNNNNNNNNNNNNNNNNNNNNNNNNNNNNNNNNNNNNNNNNNNNNNAUAGACGAGCCCUUGCCUAUACCAGAGAGAGAGAUCGAUAUAGAGACAACGAGGCCAGGGAAAGAGACCCAUUGUUUAUAAGAGAAUGGGAAUACAGAAUGGACCGAUACGCUCGAUAGAUAAAGACAAAAGAUCAACUACAGUUGUGACAGAUUCCUACACCUGCUCGAGUGCCAGCACUGACACCCGCUCCUGUUACUUAGUCCGUUCAUGUGGUACCAGCACCUGAAAGAGGUGCUGCGCUACUUAAAUCUAGGGUCCGCGAAGGUGAUGGAUUGCUUUCAAUCAAAGGUAAUGGAUGGUCAGGAUGGCUGACGGGAAGCAAACCAGGCACCCUACACUACUGCCCACCAGAAGGAAUAGAGUUGCUGACACUGAAGCUCGGAGCUAUACAACACAAAAAGAAGCAUGUUCUGGGCCCCGAUGUCUAGUAGAGUAGAACCGAAGCGUGAACACUGGAUCGAAGGCUGCUGCAGAGAGAGAAGCUCUCGACUUACCCAUAUUUGGAUGUGUGGUUAUCCAUAGGUCAGCCCAAGAGCGAAUCUUUCUCUUUCUCUUUCACUGACCUAUAAUUAAUCUUUCCUUUGCUUGCGUGGCCUGGCUCAAGCCCGUUAAUACCUUCAAGAUGAAAGCAUCCCCCAAUCGGUAGCUAAGCUAGUUAACGGACCCUGUCCUAUCCACGGAAAGCUUCACGCCCUGGAAUGGAAUAACUUCAGAAAGCCGAGUGCCGAACCGGAUAUAAAGACGUAAACUUCUUAGAGCUACUUGAAGCUAUACUCAAAGAAGGCCUACGCUUGUUCCUCCAUUUGAGACUUCCAUUCCAGCUAGUGAGAACACUACUUUACAUGAGAAGUAGCGAGUUUUUAGGUUCAGUAACGAACGAUUGGGGAUUUCGAAGAUUCGAUCUUUUCACAUGCAAUCCUCGAUGAGAUGAUUCAAUUAGGCCCGCUUUUGAUCCUGAAUGAUUGGACGAAGGGUCUCACAUUAGGGACCCCUCUCAACUAGGUAUUCGGCCUAAGGAUAAAUUGCAUUUAAGCAAGCUUAAGCCUAUAGUUACGUCUACUUUUAGGCCCCCUUGCCUGAUCAUAGACUGGAUUGGAUGAGCUGAUCAACGGAAAUGUCCAAUCCUUCUCCGACCAAUCCUACUUGACUUGUCUUAUCUAUGCUAAUCGUGUGGGACUGGCCCUACUCACUUAUCGGAAAGAGAAGAAGGAAUUACACGUGCUGGAAUGGCACACUCAUUGGUUUGAUCAUUGGCUACAACGGCACUGGAUCGCGCGGAGAAGAACUUCUAAGGUGAAAGACUCGGGUCCCUCUCCUAUUCAAUUUCUUGAUUUCAUCCCUUCACUUUCAUAAGUAAUUGAAUCCCGCUUUCGUGUCUAUCCUGCCGCUGGAUUCCACUGCUGCUUAUAUCCCUUUUGCCCACACUUUCUUAACACAUAGUAAAUAAAGGCUAUAGAGAGCACUUCUUCCCUUGGUCUGGGAGGUGGGUUAUGUGGGCUUCUUUUAUCGCUUUACUAUUAUUGCUUCUUUGCCAAUCGAAAGAGGAAGAGAUUGCCAUACUGUUCAGGAUACAUAUAUAAAGUACAUAUAGAAAGGGGAACACCUUCUCUGGAGUACUUUUGUCCGAGGAAGGAAAUGAGACUGAUUGUGUGAAGAGCCAAGGGUCUUAGUUGUGCGGUAGUUAGGGGCGCAACCUGCUGAAAUGAAUGUGUGUGGGAGAAAGAAUUCAAAAAAGAGCCAAAGAAGGGAUAGAUAUACCUGACUAAUGCUGGGUGCCUCUUCCUUGUGUUCCUUGCUUGCGUGAAGCCGCGCCCUAUUCUCCUAGUCACCUUCCUUGCUUUGAGACCGUGGGCCCCAAUAGCAAUCAGGUCUGAAUCCUAAUUACAACUCCUAUUUACAUAAGAGCAAUGGGCUUGGAAUCAUUUCUCCUUUUCGGCUUAAAGAAAGCCAUUUGCAGCCAUUUCUUAAUCCUAAGAAAGAACAGGAAGAAAUGCAAUAACUCCCUCGCAAGCUAGCUACUUCUCUAUCAAAACCGAAGCCUUGGUGUAGUUCUCAUCAGGAGAUUCAUCGAUCAAUGCAGUUCUGCUUGCAUGUGCUAGGGAAGGUCAGUCUGAAAGGCACUUUGUCGAAGCUGAUAUAGCUAGACAAUCAAUCUACUUUUUCACUAUCGAACCCUUGAAUUACGUUAUUAAUGAAUUCUUCCUCGGUUCCGCCGAUGUAUACUCUGGCAUGUUCCCUGUUAGCUACUCUGGUCUGGCUGCCUACUUUCCAGCACCUGAAAGAGGUGCUGUGCUAAUCCCCUCGCCUCAGAUCAAAGGCAUGAAGGCAAUGAGCAUCUACAUACGAAUCAUCUGCCUACGAGUGAGAGUCAGAAAGAUCCGAAGAAGUAAGAUCUGCAACGUCCAGCUCAGUAUAGGAGGAUUAUGCCUCUCUUAGCUUACACACGGGUGAGGUUGUCCCUACCAACUAACUACUAGCUGGUGAAUCAAUCAUUGGGCGAGUAUCUUCCCCUAGAGUUACAAAGAGAGAUCAUGCAGAUGUUAGAGCCGGCUCAGUGACAGCAGCAGAAGCAGCAAAAAGGGCUACUCCAGCAUCACGUGUUGCGUUGUUAUGAUUAAAAGGAAGAGUUAAAUCAGAUGAUGAUGAUGAUGAUUCUUUCUUACAAACAGUCAAAUUCAAGUGUAUCAUCUUUCUAUAAGAGAAAUAUCAAGAGAGAGCGAGCGAGCAGAAAGAUUCCAUCAGGGGAAGGAAAGCUUCAGCGCAAGAAAAUAAGACGGAUCGAAGAUAGACUGCUACUACCAUGUCCCUAGCCAUUCUUCUUCUUCUUUGUUGCCUGCCUAUCCGCUUCUGUCAACAUAGAAGGAAGCUUGGGAGAAAAGUCCAAGUGCAAGCAUUAAGUCAAACUGAUUUAGGUAUAGCAAUGUAGCCCUUCUCUUUUUAAGCAGGAAUCGUGCCUCUUAUAUAUAUAAUAAAGAAGAGCUCUUCCCUUUCCUUCUAGGUUCUAUUUCUCUUUCCCCCGAUAUCCUUUAAAAUACCUCUACCACCCUCUUAGCAGGUCGGUCAGUCUCAGUAGUAGAGGAAGAAGAGUCCACUGAUCAUCAAUUACAUCACAGUAGUGGUCCUCUUGCCUUUGCCUGGCGGAGUCAGCCCUUAAUGGGCAAUUCAGACAUCACAUUACACACCGCAGUUGAACCGUGCUUUAGAACACCGGGCAUUGCAGAAUGAGCAGGCUCGGCCUUCAUGCUCUAGCAUACUAUAGUAGACAAAAAGCAUAGCAUAACCAAUCCAGCCGACAGAAGCAAAGCUAAGAGCUCAACGAACGAGUAAAGAAAGCAAGGGUAGCAACCCCUUGUCUCGAGUAUUCCUCAUACUUAGGAUGAUGCUUUUUCUCCUCUACACUUUACAGAGCCUAACUGUCCAAAACAGAACCUAAGCCUAGCCUCGCAAUUCAUUGCAGGAAUCGAAUCGAGGUUUCAACGACUGAGACAGGUCAGUAAGUAAUUGAAUAGACCGUUGGGCACUACCGGACACAAUGAGAAGAGAAGCGGCUCAGCCAGUAGCACAGUCUGAGGGCUUCUUCAGCGAAGGAAUAACACAACUGUCACUAGCGAAGCGAAGCACUCCAACCAAAGUCAGGGGGCAUGGCGCGCACAUAACAAUCCAUCAUUCAUUUCUUGAUGAAAUGAAAGAAGAAUGUCGAUUUCAUUAUGGAUGACGCACACAAUUCAUUUGCUUAUUGCAUUCGAUCAGACAAGUCUUGGCUUGUCCCUUGCUCAGGGUUAAAAUGCAUCUCAGGGUAAGUCUUUCGUAUAGAAAGGUUGGCUGUUUUGUCGAAGGAGAUGAAAUUGACUCAAUAGUUAACGGAAAGGAAGGUAAUGAAUGGGCUAGGAAGCCACUGAUUUGAAGGGAAUGAGAACCGCUGCUUUUAGGCCGGUUUCAGUCUGUCAGUGGGGAAGAUCAAUUGAAAGCUAAGUAAUAAUUAUCUCUACUCAAGGGAGAGUAAACUCACCUUAGUUAGUACUUAGCCCGCGACAGGAAGGUAGAUGAAAGCGAAGCUAACCAUGUUCAAGGAAGAGGCGUUGAGUGAAGAACAGUUCAGUAGUGAAUUCCAAUAUUCCAUAUUCCCUUAUUUCCCGCUUGGGAGAAACUGAGAAUAUCUAGGUUACGAAGUAGAGUCGUCAAGAGGAGCGGCGUAGUCUCAAUCAAAUAUUCCAUAUCAUAAGCAAUUUCAAGGAUUCUCACUUUCAACAACCCAAGCGGCAGGGUUCUUCGAUCGUUAGAAUUCAAUCCAGCUAUCGGUUCGGCUAGACCUACCUUGUUUCGUGCUUUUCUUCAAUCCAGCUAUCGGUGAGACCCUCACUACACGCUCCCCCUUCCUUGUUUCCCACUUGCCUAAUGAAUGAGAGUCUUUAUUUCUCUAUUUUGUCUUCUUUGAUUUAUCUGUCUUUAUUUUCAGACUCAAAAGUGGAAGCUUUCUUAUAAGACUCUGACUCUGACUUCUUCAGAUUGAAGAGAGAGUCUAUGUCUUUGAUCUACUUUCUGUUGCAGGAGUAUUGUGCGAUGAACAACUUGCACAACUGAGGGAAGUUCGAGAUCAUCUUCGAUGGGAUCUUGUGGAUGAAAUAAGAAAGAGAACCAAAAGAAAAGCAUGUUUAGUAUAGGAAGAAAAAGUAAUAUAAGCGCUAAAAUCAAAUAACAAAUGAAGCGAAAAGAAAGAUUAAAGAUAAAAGGCCUUCCCUCAUGUGUCCUAUUGCUUGCUCCAUUAUUCCCUCACUGGCACAUCUUCUUUAAUAGAAUAGGAACUGCAUUUCUACCUAGUAUGGUAUUCAGGGAUUGCUCUAAGACUGACAAUAGGAUAAGGGAAGCUCCAAUUGAAAAACAGCACUACUGCUAGUAAGAUAGCGAUCCAGGGCUCGAUCUACGGCUGUCAAGCUUUCGUGGUCCUUAGGCGGGGCCAUCUUAGGAAAAUCGUCUAUGGGGGACAGUUAGCUAUUUGACACUUCUGUUAUAGCUUAGUGCUUCUUUUGCGAUACCAUAAUGCUCUUCAUUCUCCGUUUUGUUCGUACACAAGUGAGACUUCCAGCGCCGUGCCGAUGGCUGAAUAACUACGAUAGAAUUCACCAGAUGAACCGGAUGAUCCAGCACAAAAGGCUUUGUUUGAACUUGAAAUAGAAGUGGUGGGAACCUGGGUCUGCAGAUACCUAAACUCGCAAAACUACUCAAAUGUGGCUUCUCAUCGAUAGAAAGAGGUGUUCCUAGAACGGAAAUUCUGUGGUACGCGCAUCGUUUCUUCAGUUGGUGGGGCUAGGUUAAUAGCUGAUCGAGCUCUUUGGUACGCGGCUCACCUUUUCAAUUGAGCUGUUCUUGCUACUCCUCAAAAAAUUUGGUAAGAUAAGGCGGAAGUGUAAGGUGUAAGUAAAGAGAAUAGAAGAAUAGCUUUAACACAUGCAUCUCGGACAAAGACUCACUUCAAUAGCUAAACCCCAUAUGUAUCUAUCCGUCACGAGCAAUCGAAUGAGUUUUGAGGGACUCAAGUCAGCUACGAAAGGUUAAGCGGGAUCUCUGUUUUCUAUAUCUAUUCUUUCUAAAUGUACUACUUGUGAGUCAGGGACUAGGGAAAGCAAGAAAAGGGAUAGACGUUAGCCUAGGAACUCUCCGAAGGGAUAGACCCUAGGAGCUCGGAGAAAAGGAAAGGGCCUACUUAAUCUCCGAAAGGUAGCUAGAAUCGAUUCUAUUCUAAGGUGCAAGGUUUUUCUUCCUGGAGUGAGGGCUCAUCUCGUUCAGAGUAAGGAGUGAAAGACCAGGAAAGGAAGGUUGUUAACGAAGGUUAAAAUAGAACGAUAGAUAACAGUCAACAUAGUACUUGAGUAGGAACGAUAGAGAGUAGCUCACCGGGAAGUCUCUGUCCAAGGAAAUUUCAUAACAAUCAUAAGCCCGCGAAAGAGACAAGAAAGAACAUAGAUAGAUGAGAUGACGUAAGCAAAGACAAAGAGGAAGCUCGCUCAGUCGAAGUCAGUUCAGUCGCUUUUGAGCAAGUAGGAAUUCGGGUUCUCAGCCUUAUUCAAAGACAGUUCGAGGGACUUUCAGCAAAGCGGUUUCGUCUGAUCAAGUCUCAAUCUGUGUCAGAGAUUUCCUUUUGUCCGGAAUAAGAUUCUACAUAGGUCCUUCCGUAAAGGGGAUUUUUCCAAUCUGUCUAGCUUCGGUGUGUUCUUUGCUUAAUUAGAAGGGGCAUCCCCCUUCUGCUAAGAGAUUUUCCCGAGUGCUUGUUCUCUUUAUAUUAUUUUAUUUCGACAACUAUAGAUUUUGAGCCAAUCAGGUAUCACCGCGUGUCCACUUUUGUUAGGCAGAAGAAAGAGGAUUCAUCCGAUUCCUUUCCAAUUCAAUGCCAGUAUCCUAAGAAAGGAAAAGCACACCAAAGCCAGGUCAAGUAGUUUGACCUAUCAAUCUAUCUGGAUAGGGUUUUGCAAGGCAGAGAGCCCCAAUCUGAGAAGGUUUUCAGACCAGGUAGGGGAGGUAACUCUCACUCUCAGGUGAAUCCUGUCCUAGGGAAGAGGAAACCCUAUCCUUGGAAGGAACUCACAAUCCUAUCUGGAAUCCACAUCCUAAUGCUCUAGAAAGGCCUUCAUGGCGGAAAAACAAGGAGUCACAUAGUCUCCUUUUGAAUGAGCGCUCUAGCUUGAAACAAGAAACGGCCCAGGGUAGCAAUCAAAGCAAAGGGAAGGAGUGGAGCUAGGUUUGUGCCGUUGAGUCUUGCCUCUCGUAGGCCUGGGUCUAGUCUAGUGGUGGAAGCGGAAUGAGAAAGAGAGUCAUGAAACAGAAUUUAUUGAAGAGCUCACCCCUCUUGAUGACCGGGAAUGACCCAUCUCCGAACAAGCCCUUUGUGAAGCGAGCGGGUGGAUUCCUUCUUAGGCAUAAGACGAAGUUUAUGUUUAUGCUUGCUUUGCUGACUCUGAUAUUUCUUAGAAAAAUGGGCACUAUACUAAAGAUUAGCUUAAGGUAGAAGAAGCAUUCCCGACUCAAGCACGCUUUCCCUUGGGGAGUGAAGGUUCGACGUAGUUGAGAGUAAAAGAUCGGGGCUAAGGAGGGCUUUUCUCACUCAAAAAGUAUAAAAACUCAUGCCGUUCUGUACUCUUUUCAGGUGGUGGAUUAAGCCUCGCCCCCAGCGGCGUCCGUACAGUGAGUUCCAACUCCAGUCUUCCUUAUUGGGGUAAAAGGAAAGUCAUGAGAAAGAACAUAAAAACACAUUGGCGGCUGGUGCACGAACUCGUUGGUUUGGAUGCCUUAUCGAUGACCUGAGUGAGCAGAUAGGAUAAAUCAAAAACAACUGCUUUUCUUUAUCUGCGUCUCUUGAUUCAGUGUCUGCUUACUACAUUUAUGCGCCUGCCUAAGCAUAUUCUUUUUCAUGACUGAACUUCCCCGUCACACAGCUUAGGGCCUGCAGCUCCUCCUCUAGCAAGAACAUGGAUCGAAAAGGGGACCGCCCUAGAAACAUAGCCUCAUGGGUGUUUGCACUUAUGGGUUAGUACAGUAGUGGAAAGCAAAUACUACUCCGAUUGAGCCCACUUUAUUCUAGUACUAGUUAGUAUAAUUAUAAGAAAAUGGAAUAAUAAUAAAUAUUAGUAAUAAUAAUCAUAAGAAUAGUCUCUAUCGAGCCUUAUUUAGACGCGAGCCUCUCCUGUCUAGUCGACCUCACUACCGCAUCGCUUGACUUGAGUUGGGAAGAGUCAUAUUAAUAUUCCUAUUAUCAAACUCUCCGUAAUGCUUGUAUUCCCUUACUGAACGGAAGGAACGGUUCCCCUACUCGCUUGCUAAUGGACUAUAACCGGAACGAAGGCACGGAUUAUAUACCAAGCCUUUCCUAUUCUCCUAGUCUCGCAGUUGUCAGCUCCUUAGCUUUGGUUUUAGCCUCUUUCCUCUUUAUCUAAUAAUAAGGUAAGCUUCUUUGUGUUCGGGCUUUCAAGUUGGAUAUCACCAUAUACUAGUGCUAGUUCGGGUGAAAGCCUCGAAAAAAGGCUUAGCAAUUUCCUAGCAACACAAGGCAUGCUAGAAAGGCGAGAGGAGCUACAUGAAAGCAAGUCAUUCUUUCUAAAAUACUUGCUAACAUGCGAGACGAGACUGGAACCAAGGCCAAGGGCAAGAACUCAACCAACAGGAACCCUAUCAUCAACCAAUAGGCCAGGAGCUUCACCCUCAGCCCGACCUCGGGGCCUGCAUGGCGCAACAGCCUAACCCCAACCCCAGGGUGGGAACUCUUAGGAGCCGGUCACUGAGGUUGGUAAACUAAGGGUGCCUACCGUACUUGUUCCUCUAUCCAUCCCCUCUCUCUGUAGGGUUGAGGAAGGAAAUCUUUCUUUCGGGAGGAGGGGAGCACUUGACAUUCAUUUACCCGGGGGGCAAGCCAACCAACGAAGAGCUGGCUUACGGAGCUUUCUCAUCAAGGGGCGAAGGGGGGUUCAUGCAUCGGCAUCACGUAGGAUUUCCUUCAACAAGAAAGGAUUGCUGCUGUGAGUGAUCACGCACGAUAGAGAAUGGUGGAUCAGCGGACCGAUUGAUUGACCGAGAUGUGAUGCUCACUAAUCGACCAUGCAAAAAUCUCCAAGCUCCUUUACUAUACAAGGGUUCCAAACCAUUAUUGAAGAAAGAGCUCUUGCCUUCAACUCAGAAUAGAACGUUCCUUCCGCAAUGAAAGAACCCGAAGUAACAAGCUGAAGCGUAAACAAAAGAAGCUAAUCCAUUGGGCUAGUUUCAAAUCCAUUGAGCUAACUUUCUAAUCUAGAGAAAGGCACAGAAGGAGUUGAGUUGAAUUAUAUACGUAAUCUAAGUUAGGCGAGAGGAUCUUUAGGAAAAGGGGGCCACCCUGUAGCUUAGAGGAAGAGUGGUCGUCUCUUAGCUGACAGGUCGUAGGUUCAAGUCCUACCAAGUUACUUAACUUGACUUUACACGGACUGAGGAGUUUGGCCUUACAGCACUGAACACCCUCUGUCAAGGUAAAGAAAGGGUCUUACAUCAAACGCUUACCGGCCCGCAAAGCUACGCAUAACUAAAAAAUGGGGGCACUCUCGGGCGCUGCUUUCUCGAUCAACUAGAUGACUUUGAAUUAGAAAGGGAUCAGUCUAUAUAUGAGAACUCUAUUUAUAGCUUUAUUGCUUUCUCACAGAGUCUCAAAUAAAAAUACCCAACAAGCAUUAGCUCUACUAGAAAAGGAUUCAAUCCAACCAAGGGUUCCCCUAUGGCUACCUUGUUACGACCUUACACCAGAUUUACUCUUUAAAAAAAAGGAGUAAAUCCCACCAAUGUCAAUAUGAGGGAUUCACAUACAUGAGAUGAAAGUCUUUAUUUCCGCCAGAUGUUCAAGUGAAGUUACCGCCUGUGAUCCCCCGCUUUUGCAUAGAUUUGGCUUGAAUCUAUAUCUUUUUUUAAUUUUUGAUUGGAUCAAAGAGGGGUAGCUACACCAUAGGAAUGAUUCAAAGGUAGGAAGAGUUUAGGCUGUUAGCGUGAUGAAGAGGAAUGCGGCUAAUCCCUCCACGGUACUUUGCUCUGCAGAACAUGGUAAAAAGGGCAUCAUUUAGCCAACGAGAGGUUUCGAAGUAACUCGACUAUAUGACCUUUCGACCAUGACCUAGAGGGGUGAAGAGGUGCUGUUGAGCCCGACCAUCCAUUACAUCAUAUACAAUAGAUCUUACUGCUUUAGCAGCUUUCUUUCUUGCAAUUGAGCAGCCUUUCUCACUUCCGGUACACUUGCUAUACUUCCAAAAAUGGGUCAUAAACGGGGGUUUUUUUGCCUCAAGUCUCUGUCUUCUUCAAUGGCAAGAAUGGCUGGAUUGAAGAGCACACAGCUAGUCGACUGUAAGGAAUUGAGUGAGCCGAUCAUAGCGAGGAAGAGAUAGAUUUAAACAUUUUAAAAGUAGGGCUGGGUUAAGAACCAUCAAUUGCACUUGCUGUGAGUCAGCCCUAUUUGAUAAAAGGAAAGACUUACAAAAUCUCCAACGGCCACACUAGAUACUGGUUUUCAUAGACAGAGCUACUCCAAGCCCAAUACCAAAUAUGAAUCAUAUUUGAUGAACCAUGAAGUUCUUUCUUUCUACUUAGUACCAUCUUGCAUACCUCUAGAUUCUAGAAGUAGUGACACCGUAACACAUUACCUCGUAGAUUAGAUUGAUUGAGGAUACUUUCUCAUGUUACAUAUAGAAUUUGCAUGUAAUGACUGAUACAAUUGAAAUAAGAUCCCAAAUCAACGAUUUCUUUGUCAUAUUCGGAUUCAGGGGUUCUCUUCAAAAACUCCCAUUGGCCAUUCUUGUUGCUAGUUCGAUUCUAUUCAUCUUUCCGGGUCACUACGUUCUCAUAAGCUUUGGGUAUAUCCGUUAGUGGUGAUUGGUCAUUAAGGUUCCUUUGGGAUAGCAGGAAAAGCAGACUAUAACACGGAGGGUAUAUACUCAAGCUAAAACAAGAAGAGAGAAGAUAGACUAGACAUUCUCAAUAGCCUUGUCCUAGACAUAAUCUCUAGCCGGAUCUCCCUUAUCUCAGAUCUGGGGACUGAACAUAAUCUCUAGCCGUCUCUACGACUAUAUCUCUAGCCGGAGCAACCACUGGAAGGAAGCCUUCUGACCCGGACCAGAAGAGGCCUCUUCUUAUAUGAAAAUGGUUCGGAUUGGGAAAGAGCAGCCCGCAACUCUGGUUCUUAGGAAUGAUUCAUCCCUAUGCUAUGUAUGAUUCAUCGGAUUAUUCUUAUGCGUCUUCGGUGGGUGAUUUAAUGUAUUCGGCGUCUGAAACAAUGUACUCGCAUGCUUACUUAUCUAUUCCCAUCCACCACCCUUCUCGGGAUUUGAGAAACUACUCAUCCAGGAAAAAGAAAGCUGCUACUGGAAAACAACUCCCUCCGCCCUUGUUCUGGUUCUAUACCAGACAACACCCCUUGCCGCUUUCCAUAACAAGCUUGCCUUUUAGUCAUCGACUACUUCUGUAUACUUGAAAGAAUCGUAUUCUUCAGGCUUUAAAGCCUUAUUCACCGCCCUCCCAAAUGGACGUCUUUUCUUUUUUAGUGGUGGCAUCUUCUUCAUUUGAAAGAGUUGAUUCAUAUGCUUUUGUCUCAGCGGAUGAAAUAGCAUAUUUAGAUGCAGCAGAUGGAGAAAUGGUAUAGAUAUGGAGAUGCAGAGUCAGAAGGCUUAGUUUAUUGCUUUGAACCUUCGCUUCCACCGGCUUCAAAGUGGAAGAACUCGCCCAGAUCUAGUAGUUGCUCCUAAUUGGAGGUGAUAUGCUUCCACAGGUGUUAGAGGAGAUGAAUAGCUUGCCCUUCGAGGCAACGCCAGCGGUAGAGGGAGAAUUAAAGCAAUUAGAUCUCGUGGAAUUAGAUGGAUGCCUUUCGACUGGAAAUGGAUAUAUAGCUCGAAUAGAGGGCGAUAGGCCCAACAAAUAAACCUUCUAUUCGUUCGUUCCCCAACGAGUGGAUCUAAAGGCACGAAAGGAGGACCUGGGCACAACACAAAUGAAGGGGGAGAAAGACUAGAACUUCACUCUGCCUCUUCUGAAUAUCUAGUUUCGUACCAUCAGGCAACCUCCUCUUGUUUGAUUUAUAGUUUCUUAUAAUAAAGGAAAUUCCAACAUUGAUUUCUAGUAAAAGGGUAGGAUACCAGGAAAAAUUCUGAUGGGGAAUGGAUCAGAGUGCAAAAAAAAGGAAAAAACAAGCCUGUUGCGACUGGAAGUGAGAGUCUCAGGGUUGAUAAUUGGGCUGAUUUGGUUCAAGAGCCUAUGCAUGAGAUGGUUGUUGGUGAUCAGUCAAUGGAAGUUGUUGAGAAAGGUGACUCUCAUAUCUCUUGUGGGGGUUCAACCGAAAGACCUUCCUCUCUUUCCGGUCUUCAAGAGAAUAGAGGGAAAGCUUUGUCACUUAAAAGGUAAGAUUGGUCAGAUGCUAGUUGUCCAGGGAAGAUCCAUUAGAUGAUCAGCCCAUCCUCCUUGUUAUUGACUGGAAGAAUGUGAACAUCCCAAAGGGAGAUCCCGGGUCUAGUUCCGAGUCAGUCAUGGUCAUCCUCAAAGACAACUAUGUAAGGCUUAGACCUUACGUAUACUGCUUCUCCUUUGGGUAGCUUUCUCUUCAAGCACUCUUGCCUUAAUAAGGGUUAGCUAUGUUUCAAGCACUUCUUCUUUUUAGAAAACAACUCAAAAGAGUCUUUCCAUUCAAGCACUACUUGUAGCUACCUAUCCCUACAACUACUAAACUCUAUGAAAGUCAUAUAACUGCUCUAUAGCUAGAAAGCGUUCUCCUCCUAUACUAUAUUAUAUAGAAAGCAGCUAGAAAAGCCAUAAAGUGCUAUGCCUGCAAUGAACCUGCUAUGAAAACGAUACACCUGCUCCACUGACCUGUGGCUCUACCAUUUGUAGAGAAUAAAGAAGUCACAACACAAAGGAAAGCUUAAAAGAACAACUACUUGAUAAGGUGUUGCUAAGAGACAAUACAAAGUAAUACAGUAGUUAUUCCAGUAACACACCAGCUACGCUACGAAAGUGGAUGUAUAGGCCUCCUAUCCCAUACCCACUCCAAGUGAGCAUCCUAGUGGACCUGUUUAUUGGCGGUGAAGCAAGCAAACGUCUCAUUUUGUUCAUUGCGAGGUUAAGAAAGGGAGCCAAUCCACGGAGUCAUUUUUCUCUAUGAAUUGGAUAUUUCAUUUAGGUAAUGCCAAGGUUGAUUCACCGAACGGUAGGAAAAGGGUGCUAAAAGCCCCCAUUCCCCAAUUGAUUAACUGAUUAUGCCUAUGCUAAGAAAUUACUACUCUCUUUGGUCUUUCUCUAUCUUAUACUAAAGAAAGGCAAGAUUCUCAGUGAUACCGCUUGAAUAACGAUAAUAGGAGUGAAAAUAAAGAGAAAGCUUUAGCAACGGUAGGAAUUGGCUCGACUGGAAACUUGCUCAUCAGUAAAGUAAGAAGCAGAUAAUGAGAGAGUUAGGUAAAACCUAUCAGUUGGUAGCGCUAAUCUAUGAUGUUAAGAGGAGGAUAUGAACCCAGUGCAGUUCCCUCACAAAAAUCACGAAAAGCGCAUGAAACAAGGACAGAAUAGAACUCUUUGUAGCCAUACACUUAGGAAAGAGCCAAGACUUUGACAGCGCCUCUUCAUCCUAACUAAACUACCCUUUAAGAACCUGGGGUUGAGCCUACCUUAGCAGUAGGAUAAUAAGCAUCAACUCACUUCGGUUAAGAAAAAGCUGUUGCCGAGCUUCCUUAGCGCAAACACUAAGCAAGUAAACUACCUUUUUACUCUGAGGAUUUGGCAGGCGAGGACGCUCCGUUGAUUCAGAACCAACAAUAGUUGAUUUCAUACCUAGUUGUAUAGUUCUUUCUCUACUUACGCCGAUUCGUACGGUGUGAAAGCUUUCUCUUCUCCCUUUAUAUCAUUAGUAAGAGUUUGUAGGUAUGCUCCGCGGAAUGAAACCUUGUAUAGCUCAUUUUUAUUUUCUAGCCCCUGUGGCGGUAACUAUAUUCCAUCCAUCGAAAAGCUGGAGCCUUAGGCGAAGGUUGAGCCAAGCUACUUGUUCCCAUCCGUCCUACCAUGAACUCGAACCACUAAGAAGCGUCUCCUGCUCUGCUCGAUUGGCCCAGUCUCUCCAAUGGAGUACUUCUCCUUUCUAGACCAAAAAAUCCGAAUAGGUUACAGAGGAAGCCGAACAAGGUUCUCGUUCCACACACGAAUACCCCGGAAAACCUGGAAUAAAUUCUUUUAAAAAAUAGGUUCUCCCGUGCUAUUGCCAAUCCCCAUUCGUAUCUUUCAUUUUACUUUUUGUACUCUUAGCGUUGCAUAUAGAUGAAAUUUCUUGCUACGGAGAAUCAAAAUACAAAAACAAGGGCUUUGCCACCAAUGCCCGGAAGGAAUUCUUUAUUAGCACUUCCUGUCUUCGAAGCCAAGAAUGGGAAGUGUAUGCCGUGGCUCGGUAGUUCUCCUUCUGAUCCAAUGGUCUGCUUUGGGAAUAUCCAAGAUCCUAUGGUCGGGCUUAUCAGAGCUGUUAACUAACCUAAGUCAGAUGGUGGAGUCUGGGGCUUGACGGGCUGGAGUUAUGGAUGGACUUUAUGAUGGAAGAAGGGAGGUCAAGACAAAGAAGUGGUCCCUAUACCGGCUAGAUAUUCAAAAUGCCUUCCUACACGGAGAAAACAAUAAGGAAGUCUAUUUUUUACUUUCACAGAGCUUCACUAUUCCAGGGAAUACUCAUCUGGUAUGCAAACUAAAGAAGACCUUGUCUAAAGUCAGAACAUAAUUCGACUGGAACAACAGCUGGAGGCUUUACGAUCGAUUCAAAUUCAAAAAAAGGUUUCUUGCGCGUAUUAAUAUUCCAUUUUGAAAUGGAAAAUAGUGAGAGGUAAAACCUCACUAAUUGAUCUGCCUUGGCAUCAGACGUUUUAUCAUCCUUCUAUGAAACGCCAGGAUGCAUCGAGGGAUACCACUACGAAUAAGGGACACUGGAAAAAGAAUGGCGAGGGUCGUAUUAAAAUAACCUCCGCAGUGCCUCACACGGAACAAGACUUCAAAUAAAGACCCGUAUUUAACUAUUUCAAGUCAACAAUGAUAAUAGACAGGCUGAAAACAAGAUUCAACAAUUUCUAACUUAAAAUAGUUAGAGAAAGAAGUUACAGUCCUAUUCAUAUAGGCAGACCGACCCACUCAUAUUCCCCCUAUCUUUAGUCAGGAAUAGCGGUCUGAUAGAGCUCAUAUCCAUCCUUUGGAAAAAAACCGCUACUGUGCCUCAUUUUUCUAUUUUUUUCAUAGGUUGCCAGUUUUCGAAGCUCACUUUGCAGGUUAGAACUAUCGGAAGACGAAAGGGAAAUCAAAUAAAAAAGUGAAGUGAAAGGCAUAAGGAGAGCGAAGUAUGAGUGAGGCCCCCAGAUCUCACGAAUCAAGGGAUGAAACCGAACCACGGAAUGAACUCAACCAAUCACAAAGGACUGAUCGAUCGAAGACUGAGAAGUGCGAAUCAGAUGUUUUAAGCAUUGGUUGCGACAUCAAUUAGACUGGUCCAGGGAGCAAAGACUCCGGUUUGAUUUCGUCUUUCAACGAGUCGAACAAGGCAGCCCAGAGAGAGGCUACGAAAUAGUAAGGAAUGCGGGCGAGAAUAGAGCAAUCAUACCUCAUGCCACGGGGUGGGAGCGCUAGAAAAGCAUAGCUUCAUUACACCUUUCGGAACCAUAGGCUAGGUAAAGGCUCGUUUUCUACUUCGCUUGCUCUGACUUUCUCAAACAUGACUCUCAUUCUCAUAUCCGGCUCUAUAUUCAUGGAAGUGUGGAUAUAGUCCAUGUUCGACUGAACAACCAGUCUUAUCUUAGCUCUGCUAAGGCGACAUCUAAAUCACUACUGAUUAACCCCUGCUCUCUAUCUCAGCGCCAGGGCGAUCGGAGUUCCCGCCCUUUUUUUUCAGGAAUUUUUUACCAUGUGUAAGGAAUUCUCUCAAGUGUUAUCUACAGCUUCGAUAUUCAAGACAACUGAUUGUACCCAGAAAUAGAAUCUGAAUCCUAUAAGGAGCAGCCAGAUACAUCUGUCAAAGUACAAGAAUCGAACUUGAAUAGCUCCAGAAGGAUUACUAGAGCGUUGGCUCAUUCUUUUCGAACUUCUUCCAUUAUUUUGUUAGCCAUGAUUAAUAACCUCUUGUGGAAUAUCAGAGGCAUAGGCAACAUUAAAUCAAGAAGGAGGGUUGGCAAGCUUGUAAAGAUAUAUAAUAUAUCGUUGAUUGCUAUUCUUGAACCUCUUCACGAUGCUAAUAAGAUUCAGGAAUUCUCCAACCUGAGAAACCUUAGACCGGAGCUCAACGCCUGUGAGAUCGUUCGUGCCUCCAACCCUGGAGUCACUUCCCUUCCUUCUCUUUACGAAGCCUAAUCUGCUGAAUAAGGGGAAUUUUCUUUCUCUUGCUAGUUUACCAAAGCUGAUCAUAUGGCUUUCUUUUUCCCCAACUGGUACUCUGAAAGUGCCCUUUCAACCUUCAAUUGUUUCCUGUGCUAGCGGUUGAUGUGCUUUCCUUCCAGAUGGCUACGAACUUGCUUAGCCGUCUUCUUAUUCCUAGAAUCCUUAGCCUCUUCCUAAAGAAGGCCCCUCCCUAGUCCUUAUUCUCUAUUCCUUAUAAAAUGAAAGAUUCAUUCUUUAGCCAGAUCAACAUCCUUCUUCCUAUUACCUAUCUCCAAAUCAAGAUCCUAACAUGAUUUAAGCCAUAACUCUACUAUGGAAGUACUUAGUAAUCCUACUUCCUAUUCACUAUAUACUUCCUUCGUCAGCCUUCCUCUAUAGCUACCUUUGAAGGGAAAGCUGGCUAGACCAAGCCUAGUAAUUAAUUGAAUAAGAAGGAAAAAGGCCACUCAGGUCUAUAUCUAGAAAGGAGGCUGGAUUGGAAGAUUGAGAGACCCGGGACAGUGCAAGUUUGCAGAAAGGCUAGAGCAUUCCCUUCACUAAAAUAGAAUAGUAGGUAAGAUUCACUAGCUAGAAGUUUACUGAGAAGGGUAGAGUUUGUAGUAAUCGAUGAGAGAAUGGUAAUGCUAAAGGUAGGAAGAAAGAAGGCUCAUUAUAUGCUGACCACUUACUAUGGCUCUUCUCUCAUUUGAUUUUUGAAUAUGAUUUAAGCCAAGAUUAGGCUAUCGAUUGGAGGAAGAAAGAAUGCCUUUGUUGGUCACCAUCACCACCAUCGUGAACAUCGGUACACUUCUAAAUAAGGCCUACCUCCCUUCCAUUCAACCAGAGCAGCGAUGAGAAUAGAGACUCAAUUAGCUAAGCAAUGCAUCAACGGGAGGAUUCUGAAAACAUCUUCUCAUAUGACAUUCUACUUUGGUCAAGUCACUUAUGCCUAUUCCUUGAUAGGAGAGGGAAAAUCAUUAGGCCGGCCAGUACCAGAACGAUGAUGAAUAAGUCUGACGUGGGUAGGUAGGAAUCCGAGGAUGAAACUUCUGUUGAUGAAAGCAUUCAUACCAUCAUCUCUAUCCCUUGCUCAUUCUAGGCCAAGCUCUUCCCUUCUUAAAGUACUUUGCCUUCGGCAUCUCACUUGAAUUGGAGAAUGUAUUAAGCAUAGGAUCAUCCAGAGUCUGUAAAGUCUACCUCGCUUAGCUCAACCUUAUCCAUAGACGAUCUCUAUCUCUUCAUUGCUAUGGUACUCUUUGUAGUAGGUAACUUUCUAUACCAGAGCCACUUUACUAACCCUUAGCUUGUGUUUGAUACCUCAUGCCUUCACUUAAUCCAAAAGCUUGCUUCGUGUUCCAACUCAGCGAUAUGAAUACCAUCGUUAGCAAUAACUUCCCCUUCGCCUACAGUCCUUUCUUCACCUCCCCCUUUACUCUUCGUUUGUAUUCCUUGUUCCUUCCAUCUAAGCUCAAAGCUAGCUUCAUCGCUAACAUAAGGCUGAAUUGAAUUUCUUUCUAUAUAUUAUUAAAUAAAGAGUUCACCUAACAGUUCUUGCUUGAUGAGUUGUUGAGACAAUAUUGCUAGCCAACUCUACCUCGCUUUAGCUCAACCUUUCCCCCUUCUUAGUCAAGCUUGGACGCCCAAUCCAUUAUGUUGGACUUUACAUGCAAUUGCUCUACUGGAUAGGAGUAGGAAAGGCAGAAGUCUUGGAGAACUGCUUGUGAAUGGAGGGUUUAAUAGUCAGUUGACAAGGCUACUUUCGAGUGAGUAGGUUUAUUAGUGACUCUCAGUCAAUCAUUACUAAGGCGCAGGGAUUGCUCUAGGAUUGAUUGCACUUUAUAGCUAAGCUAGACAAUUCCAGAUUGAUUCUAAUUUCAUUGAUAGAACCCUGCUAGUUCAAUCCUCACUUUCCAUUCCUAGGGUUAUUGAAUACUUUACUUGCUUGCUAUUGCUAGUUCAAUCGUCAGCUCUUGCUUAGUCAUUGGACUAUAUCCAUUUGAGGGAAACUUUCUAAACACUACUGCAUUUCGGAAUUCAUCCUUUCCUUCGCCCGAUUCUCUCCCUCGUCCUAACGGUUCCUCAUCUCUCAUGUGGAUUGGAUUUGGCGACUGCUCUAUCUAUAGUUAGGGAUGAGCUGACGACCAUGCUACACCCGUGGGUCUGCUUUGAGAAUAGCCUACUGAGCGCCUGCCUUUGAAAGAUCCAUUCCUAUUUACCAGGAUCCUGGAACCAUUCCUUGAUUGAUUGAAAAUCACGAGUCGAAUUUUUCUCUACCUAUUCGACUAUCAAGCUCUUGACACCCUGUUUAGCCUAGCGCCCUCCUCCUCAGGUAAGACAUUCCAUAGAAAUCUUUCUGAUCCUCAAUUACAAUCAAUCAAUCAAUCAAGAGCUUUUACCAAGCAACACCGUAGUUGUUUGUGUAGGCAGAAUCUAGUUUCAAAUCAUAAGAUGACAAAAAGGUACCUAGGAGUUCGCAGGUAUGAUAGAGUCCGUUGAGCGAGAGCUCUUCUGUUUGACCAGUCGGUCUUUACUAGAAAAUUCUAGAAUAAAAAAGAGUGACUAUGAAAUAUGAAAUCGAAUUUCCUCGGAAUUGCUAGUAUGAGGUAAAAAAAAGUAGAAGGAAGGUCAAGGGAAGGAAUAGCCAUACGGUUUCGGGAAGCCGCUGGUGGUCUUUUCUGUUGUUGCUGUGAUCAAUGAAUACCGGGCUCAAGGCCAACCUCUCCACUCAGGGUCAGGAACGGGAUAAGAAGAAGUAGGACAGGCUCGAGGUCAAUUCUUUCUUUUAGGAGAGAUCCCACCCUACCCUUCUUUAGCGUUUCUUUUGAAUAGAAUAAGCCCCGGUGAAGCAAAUCAACAAAAUGACCUUCCAGAACGGAGAUUCAAGAAGAAUUGUUCCCCAUAAUAAAGAAAGCAAAAAUAUAUUAAGGUCGGAAUCUUGAUGCCUGCUGCUUGACAACAUUAGGCUUGCUGAAUAGUUAUACACCUAGCUGCGUACAAGAAACGUCUGCUUGUCUAUGAGAGAAGGACAAACUGGUCACCAAUCCGGGAGGAGAUACUCAUCCUAGGUAAAUUAAGAUGUUUAGACUGAUCAAAUAGCCAGCCGUUGGGAGUUGCUAAUGGUCAUGAAAGAAAAUGUAAAAUGGGUUGACUCAGGUUGUCCCUAAAAAGAACAGAUUAAAGGGUAAUAGUUCAACCUUCUGCGGGAUUCAGAGAUAUUUUAUUUAAACAGGGCCUGUAUCAGUUAUGGGGGUAGAAAGUCAAGGUUAGGGAUAUAAGCCUUAAAAACCAAAGCGCUUUAAAAAAGCCAUGUACCCGCAGAACGGUUUACCGUACUAGCUAGUCACAACUAGCCGCCUCUAAGGGAACGAACCCUUAUAUAAUUGAAAAAACUGGGUGAGGGAACAUUACAGGUUGCCUGAAAUGAGGGUGUACCUUCUGUUAACAUAUAUUCCCGCACAAAAGCAAUGAGUGACCCAACCGAUCAGGGUACGAAAUGGUACUAUGUCAACCAGGGCCUGGGCCGAUCGCUUGAGCUGCACCUAGCAGGGGCCUUUAUCACGUAAGGUACAAGUCUUAUACAAAAAAGAAGUGAUAGUAUAGGUAAUGGAACUAGUGAUAGCUUUGUUAUGAGCUUGUUCUAGUAAGGGCUCGCGAUCCCUUGCUUGUUUGAUUCCUUUCCUUUUAUUCAAUCUCUCUCUUCCCUUUUUCCUUUAGAACUCUACUGGUGAUUAAGGAAGAAAAACAAGCUCUUUUGUACCACUUCAAUCGCUAGCCUGUAAUCCAGCCUAGCAGACUAAAGCAAAGAAUCCUAGAUUUCCCAAAGCUUCGUUUAGGAGAGCCUAUGGAUCUCUUUAAAGUAAAGUACAAUAUCGACUUAAAUGAAACUAUAGCACAGAGGAAUGCUAGCGAGCGCUCAUAUGCAAGAACAGGAGCUCGGACUCUUGUUGUAGUUUGAGCCUUAGAAGGAAGCAAGCGAAGGGAUAGGAAAGCAAGGCAUCCUAUAAGCACAAAGGUAAUAGGCAGGCAGUUAAUCGAUUUCAGUAUUCAAGAUAUCUCCUGCCCUUUCAUACUCGUAGACUUCUAUAAUAGGCUUUCUCCUACGGUACUUGCCUAGGAGCGAGAACUCCAGUUCAAACGUUUCAAGUAUAGCAGAGGAAAGGUAGCGAUUAGUUGUUGACUUUUAUAGAAGCAAGGUAAUGCAAUUAAGAUCAGAGUCAAGCCUGGAAGCCAGAGAGUGAAGAGAAGUUCUGAAAGAAAAGACAUUCACAGCUAUCUCAUAUAGGAGAGUGCGUAUAGUUUUGGACAUCUAUUGACUUUCCUGAAUUCCUUAAAGGAAUUCAGUAAUGGUUAAGUCAAACAUAGCAGUCUUAAGCAAAUUGGUAGUAGCAGUACUGGUAAGCAAUUAAGAGCUUCACUUUGCAUGACGGUCUUCAGUCUAGCAUUCUUGUAGUUCAAGAGUGAAUAAGGAAGUGCAAGGCAGCAAUCAUCUGUAGCGGGCUAGCUCAUUGAAUCGAUAUCUGUAUUUGUAUACAUAUAAGAGAUGCUUUUUGCUUUGUCUUUUCAUUUUAAGUCGGAUCUACAAUGUAUUGGUAAGGAUCACUCCCCUGCCUCUUUGGAGGGCUGACAGUUGCUUGCUUGUGUACCUAUUCCUUCUGGCUUUCCUGCUAGAUAUCCUAUUAUACCGAUUGCUUCUUUGUGUUCCUGUUGCCUGCCUUUCCUAUUGCUUUCGAUUGCGUGCUUUCCUUCAUUUGUGUCUGACCAGAGGAGAUAGUUACCAGCGACAAGAGGGGAGUAAGACUAAGAAGACGUUCCCCUAGUGCCUCCAUAAAGCGAAGCACUAGACUCACUAUAUAGGAGAACACCUAAAGGAAUUAUUCCUGCUUCAGUCAAAUUCAAUGCAUUAUUUCAUUGCCUGUGUAUCAAGCUUCAAAUCGCCACUUUUCACUUUAAUGUAUGAUGUGGGUGCAUAACAUGCAGAUUUCUGUCCAGAACAUAAAAAGAAUCUAAGAGUUGAGAAGCAACUUAGCGUUCAACCGUUACCUCUGACUCGACCUCUGCACCUUCCACCGUCUUUGCGGUUAAUUACAGGUGUAUGGCAUUUGUUGUUGAUAAUGCUUUUUUUUCUCGAAUGUAGGUACGAAACCAGGAAACUCGCCUUAAUUUUUAAAUAAAGCGGAAACAAACAUGUGGGAUAAGUCAACAAAUCACAUCAUAUAUCGGAUAUCGCAUCGGAAAGAGAUAUUUAUUCUCCCUUCCGGGCAAGUCCUGAGGAACAUCGACUUGAUAGUCUUUAUCCCCACUAGGUAAGUGGGAAUCUGAUUUAUUGAUUAGAUUGAACCUAGCGGGUAGCGCGCUACUUCAAAGCUUGCUCAACCGCGAAAGGCUAGCUUCAGAUUCUUCCCAUUCUCUUCCCCCAAAAAAGGAGAGAGAUGCCCCGUCCCUUCUUUAUGCACAUCCAUAUACAUAGCCAGACACAAAGGUGUACAAUCCGAUCAAAAUCUGUGGUUCGUUCAUUCACUGUAGGUUCUCUUACUUGCUCUAGUGGCUGGCAAAGGCCAACCGAGAGGGGUGAACGAAUGGCUCAGGAAUCGAUCGGUUCCGAGCAGACUCGUGGAGUUGCAGUUUGGAUUCUCGUAGAAUAAGAGGAGCCAUAUAAGGAAAUGACUUCACUUAAAAGACAGAUGUCGCCGCUACGAGGCGAGGGAGCAACUUGUCUGGUCUUGCGGUGCACUCAUUCCCGUUACGAGAAUGAAAUGACGCCCCAGCUUGACUCGAGACCAAGACUCCUUACAACUCGCACCAAUAGCGGCACUAAGCGGUCAGAGAUUUCUUGAAAAGGCAGCCCCCCAUAGCCACCUACCUGCUUGUUUUCGUAGCUCGAUCGGAGGUUAAGACUUUGGUCCGGCGGAAAAACAGAAGUCGUCUGUAUCAAGUGAUACGUGAAUUGCUUAGUAGUGCUUCGCCACUACCGUAGCUGGAGGAAAUAGCUUAAUGGUAGAGCAUAGCCUUGCCAAGGCUGAGGUUGAGGGUUAAAGUCCCUCCUUCCGCUCCUGGCUUCGUCGUUUAGUGGUAACGAGUGGAGUGCAGAAGCCCCUUUAGAGAGAGGGGUGAGCAGCAAGCAGCCCCUUGUAUUGGGUUCCAAACCUAUCUUACUAAUAACAUAGAAAGGGGCAAGCCAAAACCUACUCCUAACAAGUUGCUGGCUUUUCAUCAGCCGUUGUGCGCUUCUAUUUUUUAGCAGGCUUCUUCAAAUAUCCCAUAAAUGAAGUAGGGGCUAUAACUAUAAGUAUAAGUAGCUAGCUAGCGCGCUAGCAUUUUCCCUUACUAGUAAAGGGGCUGCUAGUUGUAGCGCAUAGUGUACUAGUGAAUAGGAAAGGCGAAUUGAGAUUACUAAUGACGGAUGGAGGUUGAGGAUAGAACAUGUUUGGUGCCUCGCCCUUGUCUCCUUUGCCGGAGACUGCAAAUGAUGGGAAUCCUAUCAAUAAAGAAGAGGCAUAAGCAUCGCCUCUCGAUCCAAUCCGUCUUCCCUGGCCUCCCCAACACACUCUGGAUACGAAAGAAACCUCCCGCCAUAGAGAAGAGAUCUAAAGUCUGGGUCCCCUCGAUCACCCUCCCUUGAACCUGAACAGGUCGAGAGAGAUGAACCCGCACCAAAUUUUAUAACCUUCAAACCGAAACCCCCAACUAGAGAUGGAAUUCAAGAACCUAAACAACUCAGUUGAGAGCUCCGUGACUGGUUCAAGGGAAGGUCCACCAAUGAUUGAUAGGCCAUUCCCCCCUAUCCGUCUCUUGAUCCCUCAUUCCACUAAUCCGUUGUUACUGAUUCAUUAAAGGCAUAGACUCCCCAUUUUUUUGUCUUAUUAGCGUAGGUGUUCGUCAACGAUGAAAGCCGCUGAACUUAAGACUCGAGUUGAGAAAGAGGGCUAGGCCCCCGGGAGGGCUUUCAGGGACUAGGGAGGGUGGAUUAUAGAGCUAGGGGCAAAUCGAAGGUUUUUCCAUUGGGAUUGGGCAUGGACGAGCCUCGACUGGGCCAGCAUUGAUGAAAAAAUGAAAAAUUCUCCCAUCGCAUAAUUAAUCGGUGUAGGAUUAAAGAUCAGGUCCAGGAUUCGAGUCAAAUCUACCUUCCCUCUCAUCUCAGGGUGAGGCAAGGAAUUCAAUCAAAUCUUUUAUGCCAUCCCAAACAAAAUGAAUUACUAUCUUUGGAAAGGAAGGAAUGCAGGGAACAACUCUUUCCUUUCCGCUGGUUCUUGAAAGCUAUCAAUCCCCGCUUCUCCCCCCCUCUCGCAUCAGUUCUGCAUCAGAUGAUGAGCCCAUGUGCAAACUUUUUCUUUUAUUGGCCCCCGAUAGGUAGGCUAGUAGAUUGAGUCGAAAUCCUACCAACGCAUAAAGGUUCCGAUUCGAGCGAGAGCCCAAACGGGGGAGGCGAGAACAUCUUGAUCGAAAGCUCCACUGUUCUGAAUAGUGAGAAAGACUUUUCAAAAUUAGAUCAAAUCGAUCGAGAAUAUCAUCAUCUGUUAGGUGGGCCAACCGACCGACCGAGUUGGGAUGGGCGUCCAUGUCACAGAACCUUUCUCUAGCCAAAAAUCCAAUUAUUUACCGAAUCGGGGAAUUCAUUGGCAAAUGAAAAAUCUACCGUUUUAACACUCAGAAAAACCUAGAAAAGAGGAAGAGUCACUAAGACAAGAGCUAGGUAAGCAAGCAAGAAGGAGAGACUAGAAAAGGGGAGGCAAAGGGCUCUCCAUCUCUAGGAAGAUUGUGUCCAGGAUCUGGUAAUCUAAGCCUUGCUUCUUCUGGUCGGCUCGUAUUAGCCUGUGCUUUAAUCUUAAGUCGCGGUCAUGUCUCACCCCCCCAGUAUAGUGACUGGUUCCAUCUUUUUCCCGAAUUUCAUCAGUUCUAGGCUCAAGUGCCUGUUCAUCCAUCUUCAUUCCAAAGGCGAACAUCUCCAUUGAGUGGCUGUAACUGCUAUGGUUUACAGUCAAUAGUUCUUAACCAACCCUUUCUUAUUAUGUCUUUCUUUUUGAAGGGCUUGCGGUUCAUUACACCAAAGGCUUUCAGUGAACUAUUGAAGCUAUCGAGAGAGUACCAAAUGCUGACGGUGACAAAGGUUGAGUGUUAACGAUCCUGUUACAUGAAUGGUUAUGAGCACAUGAGAAGCGAGGCAGCUUUGACCCACCGAUCCAUUCCAACUGCAGCUUUUGCAGCAAGUCACUGAGAAAGAGGGGUUUAAUGAUCUUGGAGUGGGCAAAUGAUUCGCCAUACUACUUUUAUUAGAAUUAAGAGCAAUAUUCAUUAGAUUUCCAGUCCUCCUCUCCAACCGCAGCUUUUGAAUCAUACGUGGAGAGGGGAUGUCUUGAAUGAAUGGGAUACAUAAUAGUAGAUGACUAGUUCCGAUCACCUGGAAGGUGGGAUCGUUCUCUCAUUUCCCUCACCCCAAUAGGUGAGCAGGAUUGCUAUUCAAGUACCUAACAUGUUGUCAUUUCAAAUGGGUGGGACAUAGAGACAGAGGUGGAAGUGAGGUACGAACAACAUUCGUAUCUCCGGUUGGACCAAUGCUCUACCAGCUGAGCCACACACCCUUUGAAUGAGUGUUUUAAGCGACCUUGUUCAUUUCGGGUCUCGUCGUAGUUCGAAUCAAUCCGUCGUAGAAUGUUGCAAUUCAUUACUCCCUUGGUACCGAGGAGGCUUAUUUCUGAAGAUGCAUGGAUAUGACGGGACUCUAGAACACCAUAGUUUCCCCAUCCCCGGGAGCAGAUCAACUUGAAUACCCACUCUUUUCGUAAUUCCAGUAGGCAUCAUCCGUUAGCAGAUACCUAGUCCUAGUUGGAUGGAUAGAAGUAAAGAAUAGCUCCCGUAUAUUAUCGCGAUUCAAGGUUUCUGUUCAAAAACACGCUUUGUUCAUGAGAUUUGAACAUGCUCUAGAGCGGAAAAGGUUGGGCUUUUGCAGCCUCUACUAAACAGAAUUAUAAUCAGGGCCAACAGACAUAAAUAAGAUGUCGAAUUGCAUAGAUUAUUCAACAUUUCUCCUCCCUUCUCGCUUUCUUUCCUUUAUCAUUAGUCUUGGGGUCUCCCUCUAAUAAAAUAGAAUCUCCUUCGAUGAAGAAUCAAGUGACUUGUGAAAAGCAUACUUAUAACUGAUCUACCCUUCUGGAUCCUCAAUCCCCACCUCGCAGUUAGCUUCAUAUCCUUUUUUACUGAACUCUAGCUUGUGUCGUAGAUGACCUUCCCACUUGUGUGAGAGGAAACUCUCGAUUGAGACCCGUCCAUUGCUUGUCCUACCCGGGUUCCCCGACAGAACGAUGAGGGUGAACAAAGCGAACCUAACUAGGAUGAGUGGUUGAUUCGAGAAUCUGGGCUUUACAUCAUAGUUGAAUGCCCCCAACGGAAGCCCCUUGUUAGGACGAAGAUCUUUGCUCUUAUCUUACUUACGCAAUUCCUGACUCCGGCAGUAAGUGAAGGCAGUCGGUAGCCCGAUCGAAGGCCUAUUUCAUUCAACGAGGCGCCGCUAAUCUGCUUUUCAUUACUUACGAUACCUAAUUCUCCCAUUACAAAAAAAAGAAAGGAAGACAACAACCCGUAGCGCCCUCGUCGCGGCGUUAGUAACCAUUGACAUUGACGAUGUGAUGUAUUGAAGACUAAGCGAGCCAGCCUAGAACGGAGCACAUGCUACUUUUCUUCGAAAUUGCGAACACCUUACCUUUUUCUUAGUCUGAUCCAGACACUCCAGACCUCGGUUCUUGGCUUUGAUCCAAUUCCGAAGCUCGUUUACUCACUAACCGAUGUCAUUUUUAAUUGACUUAGUUAGAAAAGUAUAGAGAUAUCGUAUCGCCUUAAACAAGCGACAGGAAAUGGAGCUUACCGCGCUGAGGAGGCCUCUUCCCUCCGUUGGGAUGAGCUGGUCAAGAUGUGGUGUCUAGUCACUCACAUUGGUGAGGGCUGCCCUAUGCCACCUGUCUUUACCCUGGUACUACUGCUUUAGCAAAGCUAACGGUAGGUCAAAGAGGUCCGGGACUAUCCUUCUUUUCAUUGGCUGGAGAAAGCCUUGCAUUUACAUAACUAUGUCCUUUAGUUGCAUGUUCAACCUAAGCAAGACCCUACUCGCUGCUUUAUCCAUCAUCCAAUCCACAUCCACAAAAAAUCGGAUAAAAGCCUGAUACUUCUCACCUACUCAAAUGAGAUUGAAAACUAACAUUCCGUAGAAUCGGAAAUUCGAAGAGCGCAGAAGGUAAGUUCGGUGGUAAGAUCUGAAGGGUAGAUUUACGGGAAACCUCAGAGGAUGAGGAAAUAAGAGCUGGAAACUGCCAUCCCUAUAUCUUCCAUUCAAUUCCGUGUCCUGAGCUUUCGAGCUUUAUCUCCCAACCAGGCUCUCUUAUAUAGGUAUUACGUCCCUGUAUCCUUCACUGGGAAUCUGUUACUGGCUUCUAUCGCCUGUUUGCUGUCCGGUUAUAUCGGCAACAUUGUAAGUGAAAACAAAUGAUAGUGUAUUGCCCCAGACAUUAAACUUCCCAUCUAAGUCCCUGUCUUUUUCCCUGGGCUCGAUCCCUAAAACUGGUAGCUGUCUCCUUCUCCCUCUAUCCCAAUCUGCCUUCCUCUCAAUUGAUCUCUGCCGCCCCCUUGACCUAUAAAUUUAUAUAUGCUAUCUAUAUCUUUCUCAGCUGGAAGUCUUUAACCAUAACCAGUCCCUCAAUUCAAGAUGUUAAUCCCAGCAAUCAAGCAAUCGAAUAAAGCCGGCCUUACUCAACAAGCACCUAACUCACUCCUUCGGAAGGCAAUCCCAGCAGCAGUAAGUGAAUCCAUCUAUUAAACCCCCUUAACUAAUGGAUGCUUAAGAAAGCGGAACCAAGCCAGCUAUUGGUCAAUAUGGAGAUUUAUUCUAAGCCAGCAAUCCAGUCUAAGCCAGUGAGUCAUAUAAAUCUUACCAAUCGAAUCAAAGCAAUUGAGCCAAUCGGAGCCGGCACUUUGUAGAUAAAGCCUUUCGAUCCCCUUCCUCAAUCUCUCGUUCAAUCGGAGCUUCUCGUGGCAACCUCUCUUCCUGCCUUUACAAUGCAUAUAAAGAGUGAGCUCAUAUUCGAAACCCCCCGAGGGGGACUUAGAAGAGGGAAGCCCUUAGACCAUUCCUUUGGAAUCGAGGGCAGGGAAAGUAGAAUGCCUUAUGAAAGUCAGAGUUAGAGAAGGAAGGCAAUGAAUGCUAGUCCUACUACUCAAGAGGAACAGCAAUAGGAGAGGAGCAGCCUGUCUUAUGAGCUUUCAGGAAUACUACUAGAGAAUCUGAACCUUAGAGCUACCUUCUUACACUUCCAGUUAGGCUUAGGCAAGGAAGGGGAAAUACAUUCAAUUAGCUAGGUGGGAACGUCCAGGGGGACCUGCCGGGCUAAGAGCAGAGAGGAACUAACCUUCCGCUUUCACUGGCCUUAUUCCACUCACAGUAAGUUAAGGGUUCGGAUGGAAAACCUAGCUUGUGCUAACCCUACAGGCAAGUAGCAAGAAAGAGCACAGAGGAACGAUAUCCAUAUCCAUUUCUUUCAUUCCUCGCUAUCAAUCAAUAGAAGAAAGAAUGGAAGGCAGGACCAGGACUGUCAGAGGGAUGAGACCUAUCUAUGACAAUCAUCACUAGAUGAGGGAGGGAAUCCAAAAGGCUGCCUACUAUCCGGACUGGACUCACUCAGGACUUCCAUCUAGAGAUAUAGAAUUGAAAGAAGGAAAAAGUCCUUCGGACCCUGCCUUUAUAGUAAGUAGCUACAUUCCUUGCCUCUCGGAUAGGCCUUUGAGGUUCCUCUAGUUAUCUUCUUGAAUCACUCUAAGCAUAAGACCUUGAAUUGCAUCUUUGUCUUCUCUCUAUGGAUAGAGCAAUAAAUAAGGAAUGCAUUAUAAGAAAGAGGAUGUAGCCCUUUCCUUCCUUACUGUACUUGUAGUUGAGUAAGGACUUUAAGCUUAUAGUUUUCAGUAGUAUACAAAAUGUAUGGUUGAUAGGGCUCUUACCUCCUCAAUGUUUAUAAAAGAAUCCUACCUGAAGGAGAGUGCAUCGAAGUGACUCAACCGAUAGGUUGAGGAGCGUAACGUCUACUAGUUGGCUUUCCUGUAAUCAAAUAUUGCUUCUAUCGGGAGCCGCAUAGAUAGGCACGAUAGAAGGAAAAAAAGGACUUGGCUUUAGUCUUUUUUGAUUUUAUACUACAAGUCAUAGAAGUCAGAUCAUGCAGACGCAAGAGCGUCAGUCUGCCUUUACUUAAUAGGGCUGAAUCUAACCUACAAGAAAUGGAUUGUUGAGAAGAACCAUUUCAUGAGACAAGUUCAGUCUGUUGCGUCUACUAGUCCCAUCAUCGUCGGCUAGUAACAUAGCGUGGAAAAAGAACCUAGUAUGGGCAAUCCAGCUUAGUAACAUACAAAAGCUAGCUCCAUGGGAGAAACUUCCUCACAUACUGGAUAGGUGGACCAGUACUCACUUGAGGAAGACUUUCAAGACUUGGUUUGGUUCAUCAUCUUGGAUCAGGACCGAACACUAGCAACCUACUCAGGGAAAGAAUCGGUUAUGUAAGAAAUUGGUUGGGGGCUAAGAUAGGUUGAUACUCUGAACAAUAAACAAAAGAAAUAUUCAAUACCAACCUUUUGUUGUACACAAUCAAUUGUGGAGCUCCUACUCUGGCAAGUCCUAUUUACCUCGCCCUACACGGCCUCUUAGGGGCCCAAAAGAACUCCUAUUUUUUGAAGGAAAUGUGCGGCUACUCCUUCUCGUGAAAGGUCCCUUCUUGGAAAGUUCCCGAAGGAAGAGAGCAAUCCUUGUACUAAUUAAAUACAAAUACGGCCUCUUAGGUGCCCAAAAGAAAUAAAAAGGCAGUUCAUGCACUGAAGGUAUCCAUCUUAUUUCCAUAAACAUAAUAACUCCCCCGGGGAGAAUUCCUCACAUACUGGAAAGCACAGGGCAUUGUCCUGCCAUUAAUUACCCGAGGGAAAUCUUUCAUCUUUGAAUGGUUAGCCCGAAAAGCCAGAUCGGGAUAUCCGCGCUUACCUCAAUGGCGGGGUUCAAGAACCAUUAUUUACUUAGAUUGGUAGGGAAGAACAAACCAGGAGACAAUGACUUUCGGGGUUAGCGGGCUUACCUCAUGGAAUGGCCUCAGAGUGAACGGGGGUACCUCAAUGAGAGUAGACCCUCUUGCACGUGGAAUUCCUCAAAGACAGGAGAGGGAAGACCAGAGACUUUUCCAUUAAUAUAGAAGAAAGCCGAAGGGAAGUUCGGAAAAGCCUAGCAGACGGGACUAUCAACCCCUUUCUAUUAAGACCUCGGCACCUUCCUUACCCCCCUACGAAACAUUUACACCUAUUUUGAAAAGGAAAGCUCCCAGGUUCCACAUCUUAAAGAAGUGCAUGACCAGAUUGGAAGCACUGAGGUUCAUUCGCAAUGGGCCAACUCACCCAGCCAUGAUGUAUGACAGAAGAGAGUGAGCACAAAAAGGAGUUUCCCUCUUGGGUGAGGCUCACAGAAUCUUUUUCAAGACUUUCUAUCCUACGUUGAACUUUCUCUAUAUGACCUUAGUUUGGAAUGUACUUGAAAGCCUUUUCUGGCUCCUUUUUCAUAACAUAAUACUGAUUGAUAUACUUCAACAUUGGGUUGUACCUUCCUCAGGUGUCAAAUGUCCUAUCUUCUUGGGGGGCGGGGCAGCGGACGCGGUUUUCAUGUUGGGACCAGGGCCCUCCGGUUCCACCGGGAUCUUGACCGGGGCAUCCUCUUCUACUUCGGCCCCCGAGGUUUUGGUUUUACCAGAGGGUGAAGUAGACCAAGAGACUAUUUGGAACACUAUGGAGGACAAAAAAAGAAUUAGAUCAGUGGAGCAGCAGUCUAAGAGACGAGAGGCUCAAAUCGAGAAAAUUCUUCAUAAAAGAAAAACCCUUCAUAAAAGUGGCCAACUCCCGCUGAAUAGUAGAAACCCGGAAGAAGAUAUCACUCGAGGCGUGAAACUCUUCUUUUCUGAUCUUUUUUAAAAUUUCACGAAAACCGUGCCCGUCUUUCCAAUGUAGGAAAUGAACGAAGCUCUCUUUGGAAGGAACUGAAAACCCUCAUAGAAGAUGAUUAGGUUAGACAUUGCUCUAUACGCCGGGUUGUAAAUGAAUGACAUAGCGUUCUUGACGUACUGGAGUUAUAACAUUUGAAUUUCUCUGACAUUCUACAUUCCCGAAACGGAUCCUAUCAAAUAUUUUACAUUUUCUAUGAUCAUCUCUAUUUCAGGUAUUCGGGGAAUCCUCCUUAAUAGACGAAAUAUUCCUAUUAUGUCAAUGCCAAUUGAAUCAAUGUUAUUAGCUGUGAAUUUGAACUUUUUGGUAUUUUCUGUUUCUUCGGAUGAUAUGAUGGGUCAAUCAUUUGCUUCAUUGGUUCCAACGGUGGCAGCCGCGGAAUCUGCUAUUGGGUUAGCCAUUUUCGUUAUUACUUUCCGAGUCCAAGGGACUAUUGCUGUAGAAUCUAUUAAUAGCAUUCAAGGUUAAACAUGACUCCUAGAGAGUUACCAAAAUACGAAGUUAUCUUCUCCUUUCGUUCUCUUAUGUCUUUUUUAUUUUGACUUGGUUGGCAGGGUCAGGGCCUUUCUCGCUCGACGAGCGCAUCCGAUUCUAAAGUCCUUUCCUAAACCACUUCCAGUUCAGUUGCUGAAAGAUAGAGAUAAUGCUUUCCAAAUGAAAUUGAGUUCCACGAAUAUGCAGGCUAGAAAGAUGCUAUUUGCUGCUAUUCCAUCUAUUUCUGCAUCAAGUUCGAAGAAGAUCUCAAUCUAUAAUGAAGAAAUGAUAGUAGCUCGUUUUAUAAGCUUUAUCAUAUUCAGUCAGAAGAGUUUAGGUAAUACUUUCCAAGUGACUCUCGACGGGAGAAUCCAGGCUAUUCAGGAAGAAUCGCAGCAAUUCCCCAAUCCUAACGAAGUAGUACCUCCGGAAUCCAAUGAACAACAACGAUUACUUAGGAUCAGCUUGCGAAUUUGUGGCACCGUAGUAGAAUCAUUACCAAUGGCACGAUGUGCACCUAAGUGCGAAAAGACAGUGUAAGGUUUGUUAUGUCGAAACCUAAAUGUUAAGUCAGCAACACUUCCAAAUGCCACUUCUUCCCGUCGCUUCCAUCUUCAGGACAAUCUAGUCACAGGUUUUCACUUCUCAGUGAGUGAAAGAUUUGUCCCCGGGUCUACGUUGAAAGCUUUUAUAGUAGAACUCAUUCGAGAGGGCUUGGUGGUCUUAAGAAUGGUUCGGGUGGGGGCUUUCUCUUAAGAAUAAAGAAGACGAAUAGAAUCUAAUUCAUGUUUAUGCUAACAGAAGAGCGGAUCCAAUACCAAGACGACUUCUUUCUCAGGAAGUGCAGCAAGUACUUGAGGAAUUUUGGGAUUUCAUGCCCCACGAGUGAGUUGCCAAGUGCCCCCUAGGAGGGCAGUCUACCACAAGAUCGAGUUGGAGCCUGGAGCCAAAGCCCCUUAACUUACUUAGACUGGGGCUGGGUUUAGCAGAUGGCCCCCCCAACUAGCAUCUAUUAGUGGCGGGGCUUGGUUGAGCUCAGGAAAGAAUUUCAGGAACUCAUUGAGGCCUAUUUCUAUUCCAGCCUCCAAGGCAGUUUUUCCCUAUCUUGCUGGGGAAAAGGUUGGGGAGCCCCUGUUUUAUUCCAGAAAAAGCGGGAGCCUUGUGCAUUGAUUAUCGGGCGCUCAACAAGGUAACCUAACCAUCAAGAACAAGUAUCCACUUUGAUUGCAGACUUCUUCGCCCUAAUCAAUAAGCGCGAGAUACUUCUCGAAGUUGGAUCUACGGUCGGGCUACUAUCAGGUGCGUAUCGCGGAAGGAGACGAGCCAAAGACGACCUGUGUGACAAGCAAAUAACCUUACUAAUAAAGGGGCCUUUGAUGAUUUGGUUAUGCCUUUUGGACUCACCAAUGCCCCUGCCAUAUUCUGCACCCUCCACAAUGAGCUAUUCUACCCGUACUUAGACGACUGGUUGUAUACUUUGAUCGUGGGCUAUAGCCAUUUGUUAAACGACCACGUUAGCCACCUCCGGGCCGUUUUUAAGGAUGAAUAACCUCUAUGUAAAGAAAGAGAAAUCCUCCUUUGGACAGACGGAGAUCCUAUUCCUACGGCAUUGGAUGGGCAUCAGAGCCAUCGAGGAGUGGCAAGCACUUGUGAGCUAAGAACGUUUUUAGGGCUCGUAAACUAUUACCAAAGAUUCAUCGUAAGUUACUCGAAGAGGGCUGCUCAACUCAAAAAUAUCCUAAAGAAGGACGUACGGACCGAUCAUGGCACUGCACUUUUAGGAAGAGUGUCAAAAGGUAAAGGACCAAAAGCAGGCAGUGAUUGAUGACCCCGUAUUGCAGUUGCCAGAUUACACUAAGAAAUUUGAAGUACACACGAAUGGGUCAGACUGUGCCAUAGGCGCUCUUUCAUUUAGCUACUCUUCAUUCUUUUACCCUAAAGGGUCGGUCAAGCCGUAACAAGCCUAGCAGAGUCAAUCAAAUCGAGGUGCAAUACCUGGAUCUCAUAAUGGGGAUUUCCAUCCAAGAGUUGAGGUCUGACGCAGAACACAGUCUAUAUCGGGUUAAUCUAGGUGCUACCAGUUCUUCAGUCUAGAACGAGCGAAUAGACGGUAGUAAUUCUUUCGGUCUUACUGUCAAAUCCAGUGCCAUUUGAGGGGGGAGAAAUGUUGCAAUUAGAACUGAGAAUAUAGUGAGACCAGCGAGUAGGAUAAGGGAAAAAGUGGAUCAACAAGCAGGAAUGGGCCCCCUAUAGGUGAUUUUUGAUCUCGACCUGGACAGGCGCGGAUCCUGUUCCAUAGCACACGGCAUCCCUUCCAGUCUCUGUAGACGUUCCAUAUACGGAUCCCAUUUUAGUUGGAAACCUAGAGCCCUUAGUAGCGGACACAGCUGCAGAUUUAGUGGCCACGGCAGGCGCAGGAGCAAUUCCCUUCUUAUCAGAGACCACCUGUUCAGAAGCGAUCUUCCUUUAACUACCACCUGGUCAAGAAGAAUCAUCAGGAUCACCCAGUCAAUAACCAUACCCAUCAAGGUAAAGUUCACACAUUCAAGGAACAUCAAUUGCACUCCGCUCCACGGCAUUUAUAAGGUGGUCCCUGACCUUCACUUGCAUGCGCAACAACAUCCUAUAGCCUAUCAUACACCGCUCAUGGAACAAAAUAAGACUCAUCGAGACCCUCAGCCUGGAUAUGUACUGGGACUCGAAUCUGUUUUAGUGGGGCGCGUUAACCAGAAGAUUAAGCGCGGCAUGAGCAAUAACAUGAAAAGAAGCACGUCAGGUAAGGGUAUCAAGAGAGACCGUGGGAAGGUUGCCCUUUACGCCAGUCAUUAAGGAUCUGUUCCAACGUCGAUUAGGAUCAAAGGCAAAUACCCUAUGAGAGCUUAAGGCUAGAUUCUUUGCCACCGUAUACAAGAUUCUAAGUGGAAGAUUAUGAGCCACUGGCGAAGGCUUGAUAACGAGGGUAAAUAAACGAGCUCGAUUGUGGAAGGGAAUGGUAGCAAAAUGCUUCCUCUCCUUAAACUAGGAUCCCCUUUGCAAACUGACUCAGCCUUAGGUGUCAUCCCUAAAAACUGGUAUAGGGGCGGCCAUAUAGAUAGAGAGUAGACAGCAAAAACAGGAGCUUCCAAUAGUGGAUCUGCAAUAUAGGAAUAUGCAUAAACUGUAGCUCAAAAGAGCUUAUCUCCCCACUUCCCUCCAUUCCCCCUGGCACACACACGCCUAUAUAAGACGAACGACGGGGUUCAGACUGGGAGCUUCCGUCCUUAAACCAGUCAAAUUUUUAUUCUUUUUGUACACGAGAUCCAUAGAUAGAUAGGCACAUAGUAAAGAAAAGCAGAGACCGUAAACUAAUAGUAGGAUCUGUUGCUGGUUCUGAUCUAACUUACUCUAAAUAUCCAACAAGGGGGGUUAGUGAGUUUAAGAGGUCCAGAGGAAGGAAAACCCAUAGUUUCCAAUGAAUCUAAACAUCUAAUCAUGGAAUGUGAGAGGUCUGGGUAACCGUAGGGAGGGGAAGAUGGCUAGCUUCUUUUCAGUUUAGCUUGGCUUUUCAGCCAAAAGCGUUUUCAAUGCGCUUUAGAGCACAGUAAGUACCACCUAAUAUUUAACUUUUAGGAUUGACUAUUCUAAUUUAGAAAGGUGAAGGGAGCCAAACACGUAGUACCAUUGUGUAAGUUGGCACCCCCUUACUUCAUUGUAUGCAACGAAAUUCAUUGUUCAGAUCAAGGCGCAUCUGUCUUAGGUACCCCCCUUAAAAUAUAUAUCAUAUAUGCACCGCUGCUGAUCCUUUGUCCCUUUCUAAAUCCAGCUUCAACCGAGCAUACGUCUGCCGCGAGAACAGGAAGAACGGAAAAUUUACUUUUCUCGUAAGUGAUGCUCGAAAUCACUAAUGUACGGAAGUAGACUAGAAUCUCGGAACCAAGCUCAAGGCGGCACGUUCCGGUACUGCCCAUACAAUCUUGUCCAGUAAGCUGCUAGAAAGAUCAAGUGCAAUUGAUUGGUAGAGAAAAUACCUUAAAUUGCUGAUCGGGUACCUUCAGACCAUAUCUGAUCAUCUCGCUCGGGCUUAGAAGA